CAAACAUAUGUCAUAUGACGAGGUGGUUGUCCAGUGCCCUAUGGGCAGUGGUUCUUGUUCGUCUCCUGCAUCGUCGUCCAUGUCGUCGAUGUCUUCGGAGUCGAAGUCGAGCAUGUCGAUCAAAUCGUCGAUAGUGGCUACUAAGUGGGUGGUGGGUGGGCGGCGAAUUUCUUCGUCAUCGCAUCCCAAUCCUGCCGGACAUAGUUCGGCCAGGACUCUCCUGACAAGGAAAGAGACCUUAACGAGUUCAGUAUGUCACCGAAGGGCGAGUGCUGAAAGUUAUCCGCGGAGGUAAACUCCAUGAUAGGCGCCCAGUCGGAUUCGAUAGGGACGGGCGUAGGCGGUUCGGAGUCCGUGGACGGGGAAGGAUCCGACAGCUUGGCAUCACGGCUCUCAUGAAGGGUAAGGUCGAUACUCGGCUCGAUCGCCGCUGAGGAUACGGCCUCCGUGGCGGGGUCUAUCCACCCGUCCAUGGAUGGCGCAGUCGGCUCUGAAUUGAGGGUCGGAGCGGUUGCCGGUGCGAUCUCCUGAACACUGUCCAAUGGCAGAGCUAAAUCAUGCUCAUCGUGAUCGUGUAGCGCACUAGGCAGGGGCUCGAAUCCGUCGAAGAUCAAUUCUCCGCAGAUAUCGGCCGUGUAGUUUAAGCUUCCAAACCUGACCUGGUGGCCAGGGCAUAACUCUAGAUCUGCUCCAGAUGGCCAAGCGAGUUGGCCCGCAGUGCGGAGCCGCCGAAUACAAAGAUCUGUCCGGGAAGAAAAGUCUCACCCUGGACUGCAUCGCUAUCGAUGAUUAAGGGAGCCAUCAAGCCUAAUGAUGACGACACAGAGGAACUCUCAAUGAAAGCACCAAUGUCGGUGUCAAAACCGGCGGAUCUCGGGUAGGGGGUCCCGAACUAUGCGUCUAAGGCAGAUGGUAACAGGAGGCAGGGGACAUGAUGUUUUACCCAGGUUCAGGGGGCUCUUGAUGGAGGUAAAACCCUACGUCCUGCUUGAUUAUUCUUGAUAAUAUGAGUAGUACAAGAGUUGAUCUACCACGAGAUCGAAGAGGCUAAACCCUAGAAGCUAGCCUAUGGUAUGAUUGUAUAUUGUCCUACGGACUAAAACCCUCCGGUUUAUAUAGACACCGGAGGGGGCUAGGGUUACACAAGGUCGGUUACAAAGGAGGAGAUAUACAUAUCUGUAUUGCCUAGCUUGCCUUCCAUGCCAAGUAGAGUACCAUCUGGACAUGGGACGAAGUCUUCAAUCUUGUAUCUUCAUAGUCCAACAGUCCGGCCAAAGGAUAUAGUCCGGCUGUCCAGAGACCCCCUAAUCCAGGACUCCCUCAGGUGGGAUGCCUACCGGGGUAUCCCCAAGUAUAGAUGCUUGAGACUUCUUGAAAUAUUAUCUUGGGAUGCCUUGGGCAUUCCCAAUCUUUAGCUUUUGUAUCUCCUUAAUUCCUCUCAUAUCACGGUUUUCGUAAAUCUCAAAAUCUUCAUCCACACAAAACUCAACAAGAACUCAUGAGAUAAGUUAGUAUAAACCAAUGCAAAAACCUUAUCAUUAUAUACUGUUGCAAAUCACUAAAAUUAUUAUUAAACAUUGCAUACUAAAUGCCUCUGCGUAUUUAAUACUCCUAUCCUCAAAUAGAAUCAUUAAACAAGCAAACAUAUGCAAACAUAACAGCACAGUCUGUAAAGAAUGAAAGAGUAUCAAUACUUCCCUAACUACAAGCAUUAUUAAAUUAUACCACAAUGUAGAAAAUUUAUCAUAGAUUAUUAUGCAAAAAGUUUCAACAUUUUAUCACAUUCUGACUUUCCUCGGGAAUUUUUGCAACAUCGAUAAACUUUCUGUUUCCAAACAACAACAUGUAUACUUGCAAGAUAAGCAUGGCAAAGGCUAUCAAUGCUACUUUUAUUGAAAUAAAAGAUGCAAAACAAUAUUAUAAAUAACAGAAAGCAAAUCCUAAAAAAAUAAAUUGACGCUCCAAGUAAAACUCAUAUCAUGUGACGAAUGAAAAUAUCGCUCCAAGUGAGGUUACUGAUAAUGUUGUUGACGAAAGAGAGGAUCCCUUCCGGGGCAUCCCCAAGCUUAGUUGCUUGGAUAUUCCUUUAAUAUUAACUUGGGGUGCCUUGGGCAUCCCCAAGCUUAGGGUCUUGUCACUCCUUACUCUCCUCAUAUCGAUAUCUCACCCAAAACUUGAAAACUUCAAUCACACAAAACUUAACGGAACUUUGUGAGAUAGGUUAGUAUGAUAAAGAGCAAACCAUUUCACUUUCGUACUGUCAAAGACAAUAUUCAUAAUUGUUUCCACACAAUUCCUACUGUAUCAUAUCAUUUCCACAAUUUAUAUUGAGCAAUAUAAGCCAUAGAAACUAGAAAACAAGCAAACUAUGCAUUGAAAACAUAAUCUGACAACGCCGGACUAUAUCCGAGGUUUCAUAAAUCACCUUGGUUCAAAAAAGUAGAAAGAGUUUAGCCGAGCUUAAUGCCGGAAAUGCCCUAUAUGGAGCCAGCCACUAGUGCCCGAGCUUUAUGCCAGACUGCUUCCGAGGUGGUGCACCACCCCGACUGCAGGCCGAUUUUUUGUCAAUAUUUUUUGAUUGGUGCAAUUUAUUCUCUGCCGAGAUAUAUAGCCAGUAGCCCUCAAGGUGUGUAUCAGUCUAAAACCUGAGAAGCACCUGAAGUGUGACAUAAGACCGCUGAUCCCAAUAGCCCCUGAGACUCAGGUUGAUUCACAAAAUCGGCCUGAGGAUCAACUCCUAACUCGGCAGAAUACUUCAGGACACAAAAAGCGGUGGGCAAAUUCCUCGAGACUCAGGUUGGGUGCGGCCGACCAACCCGAGGAUCAUAAUCUCCUCGAAAGCUAUAUUGCACUUUAAAUUUUCUGCAUUGGAUUGUCAAUGCAGUAGCCCCCGAGUCACUGGUCGGGUAGCAACACCAGAUCAGGGGAUCGAUGUGCCCCUUUAAUAUUUGUAAAUAAUAAGCCCGAAGCCCAGUAGCCCCCCGAGCCUUAAUGCGGGCACGGGUGGCCGAAUUAAGGAUCGAUAUCCAUAGUAAAAUCACAAAUUAUGUUUAAUGAAUCUAUGUAUCCAAGUACUUUACAUCAUUAAUGCUCGGAUCCGCAUUGUACAAAACUUUGUUGACCGACAAUCGGCUUCAACCUCUUCGGCCAGUAGCCGAGGAGUGUUUUCCUACUUUAUAAAGCCGUUAUAAGGGCAAAGUUUAUGUAAAACAAGGCAAUCUGUCCAUACAGUUUUAUAAACAAAGGUACACGGGGAGAUAUGUUAUAUUACGUUUUAACGUAAGAAACAUCUUCCAAAGAAAAUAGUCCCGCUAUCGGUUGCUUUCUUUGGGUCUUCAUGCUUAUCAUGAUCAUGAAACCUCACCUCCGAUCAACGUGGGACGAAAAUAUUGAGGAUUUAGUUCGGGGAAAGUUUCCGAGCUCUGUGGUCUAAAUGAACCAAAAUUUUCACAUCCGUCGUUGCCGACCAAUAUCCUUUAAGAUUGCUAGCUUUCGGCUUCACCCAGUCUGAGGUACUUACUCGGAUGACCCGGUAAUAACAAUCACAGAGGUGCUCCCUUUACCACCUACUCGAACAAUCGGGAACGUAGGGGUAAGCACAGGAGCCAGGCAACCCAGCUUGGCCAAAAUCUUAAGUCAGAUUGAUACAUAUUUAUGGCUUUAUAACGAUGAUUACGGAAGGUAGCCCUCGUAUAUAAAAUACGAACGCCGAUGAUAUAUUUAUUUUGACUCCAUUGCGACUGUUUAUCACUUGAAAGUGGCCCAUCUUCGGCUUCUACACCUUUGUAGAUACUCCGCAGGGUGUCUCUGCAAUAACAAGACAACCCUUAGCCGACGUCUCGGUGCCCGAAGGCGGUUAUGUGAGCAGAAACGAGGCAAUAACAUAUGCGGGCUUUAUAACUUUCACUUAGUCAUGGGAGCUUUUAAACUGGGAAAGCUAGCUACGAGCCCCCGGUUAGUGUUCGGCGACAGCAGAGGUCAAGCCGUAAACACUUCGGCCAAUGUUAUGAUUGGCACGUCAUUUAACAUAGUCAUCGGAUCGCUGACCAGCUUACGCUUAUUGUGACAGUCAGUUUUUGGCUUUCUCCACUGAGGUGCUUAACCAUGCGAGCUGGAAGCACAAUCGCCGUGGUUCUCCCUUUGCGCACCUAGCCGAACAAAGCGGAAUGUAGGAGGCAAGCACAGGAGCCGGGCAACCCAACUAUUGAUCAAAAAUGUUUUGGCCGAAUCUCGAAAGGUGUCUGGCGUUGCACUGCGAGACUUAUGUUGGAAACACACAAAUAGUUUAAAAGUGCCAUAAUCUUGGAAAACCAAAAAACACCAGUAAAAACUUGACGUCCGAACAAGAUCAAGUGUUCGGUGCCAAUCCGAAAAUUGGAAAAAAAGAGAGAAAAAAGUGUGCUUCUGUCGUGCUUUAACAUGACACAUCCGAUCUCAAGACUUCACGCGGGUCGGCCUACGGCUUCAAGCUCCUUAUCCCAAAGGCGGAGUACUUCUCCGAGGUCAGUUUAGCAAACUAAACUCGAGCGGCUUUUAGAGAAAAGACAGGCUAUCCAGCUAUUGACCAUACACUCGAGUCGAAAAAGGAGCGGUAGAAAAAGACUUUGCAACGACCAAGAAGAAAACACAUUUACUAUAAAACAAAUCAUAUAAAUUUUAAGAGCCCCCACGUGACUUGGGUAAAGGAAUUUUAUGUAUAAUGAUUGUAUGUACCGAAGUACUUAUAUCAUAUAUGUGUUCUCUCGAACUUUAAACGCGUCUUAACCGACUGUAGGCUUCUCCCUCUUCGGUCAAGGGCCGAAAAGUGUUAUGUACUCCACCUGUCGAGAAUAUUGACAGUGUUUCCGAUAACCAGGCAAUCAGGCCAUAAGGCUGUAACAGACAAAGCACGCUCAGGGAACUUAUGCUAUAUUACUAACAAAGUGUAAGAAGCAUCUUCAAAGAAAAUAGUAUCUCCACUGAUACCUUUCUUCGGUUGCUCAUUGUUACUAUGAGACUUGUGCAAUAGAUUUUUUGUAUUCAUGAGUUCCGUUGUGUGCCAACCAUAAUUGAAAACAAUAAGAGCGCUAGCUUUCGGCUUCACCCAGUCUGAGGUACUAACUCGGAUGACCAGGUAGUAACAAUCACAGAUGUGCUCCCUUUACUCCCUAGCCGAACAAUCGGGAAUGUAGGGGUAAGCACAGGAGCCAGGCAACCCAGCUUGCGAAACAUUUAAGUCAACAUGGUGCAUAUUGUGGCAUAAUACAUGAACAAGGAACGAAGCUGUACAAGUAUAAUCAUAUGCAAGAGGAAAGGCUUCAUAAAGGAAGCCCCCUAAAUAAACAGGGUAUUUGAAUUUGUGUGUCACAAACAAAGUUUUGACAAGGAAGUUUUUCAUAAACAAUUUUCUGCCAAAAAGUAUAAUUCUUGGUCGAACCGAACAAAAUUUCAAACUGAAAGUUUUUGAGCAUGAAAGCGACUUAGCUGGUUAAUGUGUUCGGCAUCGAUGACGCGGCCCGAGCUUAAUGUGGGACAAUGUUCUAUUCCCCAAGCCGGUCCUGAGGGGGCGGAGCGAAGAGCUCGGCACUCUAAAGUGGUGACAUAGCAUGGCCAAUGCAGGCCGGCAGAGUGACACUGAAGUCCCCGGCAUGGGUUAAUGAAGUGUUGACGAAGCCCCCCGUCCAGCCGAGGUGACAACACUGCCCGACCUGGAUCAUUUGCGUGUGCACAAAAAAUAGUGCAAACUGGAGAUAAUAGUAAUAAUAAUAAAUUUUAGAAAAUUGUUGCAUAAUAAAUAAUUUAUGCAAUGUGAGUAAUAAAGGAAAUAUGGCCUGUGUGCCGAACACUCGAGGAGGUAGAGCUCUCUCGGCGAUGCCGAAGUCCCCGAGGCAACCGAACACAUCGGUAUGGCAACACGACCAACAAGGUGAUCACGCGAGCCAAUUUACGCCGAUUGGGACGACGGCGUCGGCUUGCCGAAGAGACCACGUAAGGCAGUCGAAGUCCAUCACCUACACACAUAAAAUAGUGCGGUCCAAAAAGAAUAAUUGCUUUUCGCAAAAAUAAUUUAUUGAAAGAGAUGUGGCCUGGCGCCGAAGUCAUGUCGAUGCAGGGCGUCAGCGUGACGCGGUGAAGGCGUGACCAAGCCUGAAUUCGCAGGCCGGUCUGAGUUCCGGAUGCGGCACUCGCCGAACUGUAUACGGAAACUGACCGAACCACCACUCGACCGUUGUUAAUGCGGCCACGAGAUUGUGUGAUGCAUAUCGUAUAAUCAUACCCACGGAUACUUGAGGUGACAUUGGAGUAUCUAGGUGACAUUAGGGUUUUGGUUGAUUUGUGUCGUAAGGUGUUAUUCUAGUACAAACUCUAGGGCUGUUUGUGACACUUAUAGGAAUAGCCCAAUGGAUUGUUUGGAAAGAAUAACUUUGAGGUGGUUUCGUACCCUACCAUAAUCUCUUCGUUCGUUCUCUGCUAUUAGUGACUUUGGAGUGACUCUUUGUUGCAUGUUGAGGGAUAGUUAUGUGAUCCAAUUAUGUUUUUAUUGUUGAGAGAACUUGCACUAGUGAAAGUAUGAACCUUGGGCCUUGUUUCAAAGCAUUGCAAUACCGUUUACGCUCACUUUUAUCAUUAGUUACCUUGCUGUUUUUAUAUUUUUAGAUUACAAAUACUCAUAUCUACUAUCCAUAUACGACUUGUAUCACCAUCUCUUCGCCGAACUAGUGCACCUAUACAAUUUAGCAUUGUAUCGGGUGUGUUGGGGACACAAGAGACUCUUUGUUAUUUGGUUGCAAGGUUGCUUGAGAGAUACCAUCAUCAUCCUACGCCUCCCACGGAUUGAUAAACCUUAGGUCAUCCACUUAAGGGAAAUUUGUUGUUGUCCUACAAACCUCUGCACUUGGAGGCCCAACAACGUCUACAAGAAAAAGGUUGUGUAGUUGAUAUCAAGCUCUUUUCUAGCGCCGUUGCCGGGGAGGUGAGUGCUUGAAGGUAUAUCAUUAGAUCUUGCAAUCAAAUCUUUUUGUUUCUUGUUUUAGCACUAGUUUAGUUUAUAAAAGAAAACUACAAAAAAUAUGGAAUUGAGUUUGCCUCAUAUGCUUCAUCUUUUUAAUAUCUUUCGUAAGUAUGAUGGAAAGGAAAAUUGUGCCUAAGUGUUAGAAGAAGAAUGCAUUAAAAUGUUUGGCACUAAAUAUUUCAAUUAUGAGCAUGAUUGCAAUGUUGUUAGUAUGAAUUCCUUGAAUAUCCAUGAUGAUAAUGAUAUGCAAAGCCACAAGCUUGGGGAAGCUAUGUUUGAUGAAGAUGAUAUUUUUUGUCCCCCAAGUUUUGAUGAGAAAAUUUAUUAUGAUGAAUGCAUGCCUCCUAUUUAUGAUGAUUAUAUUGAUGAAAGUGGAUUUGGAGAGGUCAUGACUUUAUUUAGUAACGAUUCCACUAUUUCGGAAGAGGUUCUAAUUGAUUAUCAGAACAAAGUUGCUAUCUAUGAUGAUUAUUGUGAUGACUUGUAUGCUAUUAAAAAUAAUGAUAACCAUGAAACUUGUCAUAAUGAUUUUAGUUUUCAAUUGGAUUAUGCCUCACAUGAUAAUUAUUUUGUUGAGUUUGCUCCCACUACUAUUUCGAAUGAAAAGAAUCUUGCUUGUGUGGAGAGUAGUAAAUUUUCUAUGCUUGUAGAUCAUGAAAAGAAUGCUUUAGGUGCUGGUUAUAUUGUUGAAUUCAUUCAUGAUACUACUGAAAAUUAUUAUGAGGGAGGAAUAUAUGCUUUUAGGAAUUGCAAUAAUAUCAAGUUUCCUCCCUAUGUGCUUAAAAUUUUGAAGUUAUGCUUGUCUUACCUUCCUAUGCAAGUUGAUUCUUGUUCCCAUAAGUUGUUUGCUCACAAAAUCCCUAUGCAUAGGAAGUGGGUUAGAAUUAAAUGUGAUAGUCAUAUUCUUCAUGAUGCUCUCUCUAUGUUACAAUUCUUAUCCUUUAUGUGAGCAUCAUUGAAAUCAUCAUGCCUAGCUAGGGGCGUUAAACAAUAGCGCUUGUUGGGAGGCAACCCAAUUUUAUUUUUGUUCCUUGCUUUUUGCUCCUGUUUAGUAAUAAAUAAUUCAUCUAUCCUCUGUUUAGAUGUGGUUUUAUGCUUUUAAUUAGUGUUUGUGCCAAGUAGAACCUUUGGGAAGACUUGGGGAAAGUCUUGUUGAUCAUGCUGUAAAAAACAGAAACUUUAGCGCUCACGAGAAUUGCUUCCAUUUUUUUAUUGGAGAGUGCUAUUUUAGAUAAUGCUUUUUGAAGAUGAUUAAUAGAUAAAUUCCUCACAUCCAGAAAUUUAUUUGAGAAUUUUAUGAGUUCCAGAAGUAUGCGUUUGAUCCAGAUUACUACAGACUGUUCUGUUUUUGAUAGAUUCUGUUUUUCGUGUGUUGUUUGCUUAUUUUGAUGAAUCUAUGGCUAGUAAAAUAGUUUAUAAACCAUAUAUAAGUGGGAAUAUAGUAGGUUUAACACCAAUAUAAAUAAAGAAUGGGUUCAUUACAGUACCUUGAAGUGGUGUUUUGUUUUCUUUCGCUAACGGAGCUCACGAGUUUUCUGUUAAGUUUUGUGUUGUGAAGUUUUCAAGUUUUGGGUAAAGAUUCGAUGGACUAUGGAAUAAGGAGUGGCAAGAGCCUAAGCUUGGGGAUGCCCAAGGCACCCCAAGGUAAUAUUCAAGGAUGACCAAGAGCCUAAGCUUGGGGAUGCCCCGUAAGGCAUCCCCUCUUUCGUCUUCGUUCAUCGGUAACUUUACUUGGAGCUAUAUUUUUAUUUACCACAUGAUAUGUGUUUUGCUUGGAGCAUCAUUUUAUUUUCUUUAGUUUUUCUUGCUGUUUGAAAAAAAUACCGAGAUCUGAAAUUAUUAAAUUUUAGAGAGUCUUCACAUAGUUGCAUAAUUAUUCGACUACUCAUUGAUCUUCACUUAUAUCUUUCGGAGUAGUUUGUCAUUUGCUCUAGUGCUUCACUUAUAUCUUUUUAGAGCACGGUGGUGGUUUUCUUUUGAAGAAAUAAUUGAUCUCUCAUGCUUCACUUAUAUUAUUUUGAGAGUCUUAAAUAGCAUGGUAAUUUUCUUAAAUAAUCCUAAUAUGCUAGGUAUUCAAGAUUAGUAAAAAAAAUCUUAUGAGUGUUUUUAAUACUAAGAGAAGUUUGAUGGUUGAUGAUUGUUUUGAGAUAUGGAGGUAAUAAUAUCAAAGUCGUGCUAGUUGAGUGGUUGUGAAUUUGACAAAUACUUGUGUUGAAGUUUGCAAGUCCCGUAGCAUGCACGUAUGGUAAACAUUGUGUAACAAAUUUGAAACAUGAGGUGUUAUUUGAUUGGCUUCCUUAUGAGUGGCGAUCGGGGACGAGCGAUGGUCUUUUCCUACCAAUCUAUCCCCCUAGGAGCAUGCGCGUAGUGCCGAGGUUUUUGAUGACUUGUAGAUUUUUGCAAUAAGUAUGUGAGUUCUUUAUGACUAAUGUUGAGUCCAUGGAUUAUACGCACUCUCACCCUUCCAUCAUUGCUAGCCUCUUCGGUACCGUGCAUUGCCCUUUCUCACAUUGAGAGUUGGUGCAAACUUCGCCGGUGCAUCCAAACCCCGUGAUAUGAUACACUCUUUCACACAUAAACCUCCUUAUAUAUUCCUCAAAACAGCCACCAUACCUACCUAUUAUGGCAUUUCCAUAGCCAUUCCGAGAUAUAUUGUCAUGCAACUUUCCACCAUUCCAUUUAUCAUGACACAUUCAUCAUUGUCAUAUUGCUUAGCAUGAUCAUGUAGUUGACAUAGUAUUUGUGGAAAAGCCACCGUUCAUAAUUCUUUCAUACAUGUCACUCUUGGUUCAUUGCAUAUCCCGGUACACCGCCGGAGGCAUUCAUAUAGAGUCAUACUUUGUUCUAGUAUCGAGUUGUAAUCAUUGAGUUGUAAAUAAAUAGAAGUGUGAUGAUCAUCAUUUUCUAGAGCAUUGUCCCAAGUGUGGAAUAAUAAUAAAAAAAGGAGAGAACGGCCAUAAAAAAGAGAAGGCCCAAAAAAAGAGAAGGCCCAAAAAAUGAGAGAAAAAGAGAGAAGGGACAAUGCUACUAUCCUUUGCCACACUUGUGCUUCAAAGUAGCACCAUAAUCCUUAUGAUAGAGAGUCUCUUGUUUUGUCACUUUCAUAUACUAGUGGGAUUUUUCAUUCUAGAACUUGGCUUGUAUAUUCCAACAAUGGGCCUCCUCAAGUGCCCUAGGUCUUCGUGAGCAAGCAAGUUGGAUGCACACCCACUUAGUUUCUUUUGUUGAGCUUUCAUACAUUUAUAGCUCUAGUGCAUCCGUUGCAUGGCAAUCCCUACUCCUUGCAUUAACAUCAAUCGAUGGGCAUCUCCAUAGCCCAUUGAUUAGCCUCGUUGAUGUGAGACUUUGUCUUUUUUGUCUUCUCCACAUAACCCCCUCAUUAUAUUCUAUUCCACCCAUAGUGCUAUGUCCAUGGCUUGCGCUCAUAUAUUGCAUGAAAGUUUAUAGGUUUGAGAUUACUAAAGUAUGAAACAAUUGCUUGGCUUGUCAUCAGGGUUGUGCAUGAUGAGAGCAUUCUUGUGUGACGAAAAUGAAACAUGACUAAACUAUAUGAUUUUGUAGGGAUGAACUUUCUUUGGCCAUGUUAUUUUGAGAAGACAUGAUUGCUUAGUUAGUAUGCUUGAAGUAUUAUUGUUUUCAUGUCAAUAUUAAACUUUUGUCUUGAAUCUUAUGGAUCUGAAUAUUCUUGCCACAAUUAAGAAGAAUUACAUUGAAAUUAUGCCAAGUAGCACUCCUCAUCAAAAAUUUUGUUUUUAUCUUUUACCUACUCGAGGACGAGCAGGAAUUAAGCUUGGGGAUGCUGAUACGUCUCCAACAUAUCUAUAAUUUUUGAUUGCUCCAUGCUAUAUUAUCUUCUGUUUUGGAUGUUUAUGGGAUUUAUUAUACACUUUUAUAUUAUUUUUGGGACUAACCAAUUAACCCAGAGCCCAGUGCCAGUUUUCUGUUUUUCCUUAUUUUAGAGUAUCGCAAAAAAGGAAAAUCAAACGGAGUCCAAUUGACCUGAAACUUCACGGAACUUAUUCUUGGAAGGAAAGCAACCUGGGAGACUUGGAGUCCACGUCAAGGAAGCUUCGAGGAAGCCACAAGGUAGGGGGCGCGCCCACCCCCCUGGGCACGCCCUCCACCCUCGUGGGCCCCUCGUGGCUCCCCUGACGUACUUCUUCCGCCUAUAUAUCUCCAUAUACACUAAAACGAUCGGGGAGCCCAAUAGAUCGGGAGUUCCGCCGCCAGAAGCCUCCGUAGCCACCGAAUGCCAAUCUAGACCCGUUCCGGCAACCUGCCGGAGGGGGAAUCCCUCUUCGGUGGCCAUCUUCAUCAUCUCGGUGCUCUACAUGACGAGUAGGGAGUAGUCCACCCUCGGGGCUUAGGGUAUGUACCAGUAGCUAUGUGAUUGAUCUCUCUCUCUCGUGUUCUUGAUUUGGCACGAUCUUGAUGUAUCGCGAGCUUUGCUAUUAUAGUUGGGUCUUAUGAUGUUUUCUCCCCCCCUCUACUCUCUUGUAAUGGAUUGAGUUUCCUCUUUGAAGUUAUCUUAUCGGAUUGAGUCUUUAAAGAUUUGAGAACACUUGAUGUAUGUAUUUUGUGCGUAUCUGUGGUGACAAUGGGAUAUCACGUGAUUCACUUGAUGUAUGUUUUGGUGAUCAACUUGCGGGUUCCGCCCAUGAACCUAUGCAUAGGGGUUGGCACACGUUUUCGUCAUGAUUCUCCGGUAGAAACUUUGGGGCACUCUUUGAGGUUCUAUGUGUUGGUUGAAUAGAUGAAUCUGAGAUUGUGUGAUGCAUAUCGUAUAAUCAUACCCACGGAUACUUGAGGUGACAUUGGAGUAUUUAGGUGACAUUAGGGUUUUGGUUGAUUUGUGUCUUAAGGUGUUAUUCUAGUACGAACUCUAGGGCUGUUUGUGACACUUAUAGGAAUAGCCCAAUGGAUUGAUUGGAAAGAAUAACUUUGAGGUGGUUUCGUACCCUACCAUAAUCUCUUUGUUCGUUCUCCGCUAUUAGUGACUUUGGAGUGACUCUUUGUUGCAUGUUGAGGGAUAGUUAUGUGAUCCAAUUAUGUUUUUAUUGUUGAGAGAACUUGCACUAGUGAAAGUAUGAACCCUAGGCCUUGUUUCAAAGCAUUGCAAUACCGUUUACGCUCACUUUUAUCAUUAGUUACCUUGCUGUUUUUAUAUUUUUAGAUUACAAAUACUCAUAUCUACUAUCCAUAUACGACUUGUAUCACCAUCUCUUCGCCGAACUAGUGCACCUAUACAAUUUACCAUUGUAUCGGGUGUGUUGGGGACACAAGAGACUCUUUGUUAUUUGGUUGCAGGGUUGCUUGAGAGAGACCAUCUUCAUCCUACGCCUCCCACGGAUUGAUAAACCUUAGGUCAUCCACUUGAGGGAAAUUUGCUGCUGUCGUAUAAACCUCUACACUUGGAGGCCCAACAACAUCUACAAUAAGAAGGUUGUGUAGUAGACAUCAGCCACCAUUUGAUAGACCUGUGUACAGAUGAUGAAACAAACCAGAGUAAUAAUUCCUUGGGAGAAAUAAACCCAAGCAAGAAAAAAAUACUAGGAUUAAUAGCACCUGGUUUAUCUAUUGUAGCAAUCUGAAGAAAGGUUACUCCCAAAAUUGGGACUCGAUCCGCACACCCAUUGCCUAAUGGGCGAUAAAGCGACGGCAUGGCGAUGCCGGCAAACGUGGGCUCGCCGAGUCAAAGCCCCGAUCCAGCUAACGUGACGAAGCUGGUCGGCUGGUGACACUGAAGUCAGCAGAGUAUGUUGAUGAAGAAAUAGCAAAGUCCUCGGUCUAGCCGAGAUAAAGGAGCGGGUCAGUAAGGAGAUGUUGCACCUGCCAUGUUAGCCGAGGUGUUGAAGCAGUUCGGCGUGAUGGACAUCGGCUUGAAAAGCAACAGUGCGGCCAUGCCGACGCUGGUCAUACAUUCUGACGCGGUCAAUGCCGGAUUGAUGAAGUGACCGAGUGGCGAUGUCGUCGCGCCUGACCCAUGCAAUCCGUGGGGCGAUGGUGUUGGUGAUGAUUUAUCCUUUGUGAUGUCGAACUCUUGUUCGGCUUGCCAAGCUGAUGAUCCAAUAAGGUUAGGCUUGGCUCGAUGAAGCGACAAUCUGUCUAGCGCAGGUUUGCAGACGUGGAGCAAUGUUAUCGAACUGGUGUGACACCAGCGCGAUGGUGAAGAGUGACUCAAAGAAGGCUUAAAAUUAUGUGGGCACGUGUUAAAAACAACGCACAAUACCAUAGAAGAAAAUUCCUUUUAAAAGGUUGCCCAAUAUCACGUUCAUAAAGAAACAUGAAUUCUGGUCGGAUCCGUAUUCACGCAGAAAACAGAUCCAAAAAAGGAUGCACUAAUCAGAAGGUUCCCGGAGUUUGGAUGGUCGGAUCGAGCUAAAUUUUGAGGGGUGGUAGAUAUAGGAAUUCCGCAGCAGAUCAACAGUUGGAUCUUCCAAAGGAGGUUCGAGCUAGGCGCUGGAGACCACGCCCUAAACUCGUCUAGAUUUUACAGGGCUCCAGUAUAGCGUAGAUUACCAGAGAUUCCUCCAUCGAAACUCGAUGAAAUUUUGCAUUGUUGUUGUAAACUCAAUUCCACACAAUUCUACAAAAGGAAUCGUCAAAGCGAUGCUCGAGGAGGUGGUGGCAGCAGAUACAAGUUCGUUGUUUGAAAAACAGCACGGUCGCCCGAGGGCAAUGUUGACGUUGAGCCCCCGAGCUCCAUGGAUGAUUCCUCCAUGAUCUUGAUAGAGAUUGGAGUUGAUGUUGAUGAAGGCCCCCGUCCGAACAUGACGAUCAGAGAUGGAGCGCGGUCCUUGGUCGAGCCAAGGUGACCAGUCAAGCCGGCGACGAAGAUGCUGGCGUCGCAGUUGAUCUGCGGGCGAGACAUUGAUCCUUUGCCGAUCACACAACGGAACUCUCAAUGAAAACACCAUUGUUGGUGUCAAAACCGGCGGAUCUCAGGUAGGGGGUCCCGAACUGUGCGUCUAAGUCAAUUGUAACAUGAGACAGGGGACACGAUGUUUACCCAGGUUCGGGCCCUCUCUAUGGAGGUAAUACCCUACUUCCCGCUUGAUUGAUCUUGAUGAAUAUAAGGAUUACAAGAGUUGAUCUGCCUCGAGAUCAUAUGUUCUGGUCUAAAGCCUAGAGGUAUGAUGAGUAAUAUCACAAUAAUCUACCAACUAGCUUGGCAUCGGCUUAUAUAAUGUACCAGAGGUCUAUGAUAACAAGAGUCCUAGUCGAAUACGUCGGUGGAGAGGAGUCCUUGCCUUGAUCUCCAAGUCUUGUGGAAUCUUCCUCGUGUAUACAUCGGCUGUCCGAACUGGCCCAUGAGCAUACGGCCAUGGGGGUCCUCGGCCCAAUCCAACUGAUUGGGAGACGACGUGGUGAGUACCCCCUAGUCCAGGACAACGUCACCCGUUGUUUCGGGCAAGCCAUGGAUUAAUGCUUGUUGGUGGUGGGGGAGUAUAAACUUUACCAUUCUACUUGGGAACCGUCUAUAAUGUGUGUAGCAUGGAAUAUAUCGACAUCUCUUGGUUGUUAUGUUGACAAUGAAAGUAUACCGCUCAAAAUAUUAUUUAUAUCUACUUCAAAACCAAGCUCUGGCACCUCUACAAAUCCCUUCUUCCCUCUGUGAAGGGCCUAUCCAUUUACUUUUAUGUCGAGUCAUCAUUCUCUUAUUAAAAAGCACCAGUUAGAUAGCACCACUGUCAUUUGCAUCCAUUAUUGUUAGUUUACAUUGAGUAUGACUUGACUGGAUCUCUUUUACCAUGAAUUACAAUGUUUAGUAAGUCCUUAAUCUUUAAAGGUGCUCUGCAUUUAUGUUUUGUGGUCUCAAAAAGGGCUAGCGAGAUACCAUCUUGUUAUAUCAUAUUACGAUUGUUUUGAGAAAGUGUUGUCAUCCGAGAUUUAUUAUUAUUGCUCGCUAGUUGAUUAUGCCAUUGAUAUGAGUAAACAUGAGACCUAAAUGUUAUUGUGAAUAUGGUUAGUUCAUAAUCUUUGCUAAAAACUUGAAUGCUGGCUUUACAUAUUUACAACAACAAGAGCAAAUAGAGUUUGUAAAAGUUUUUCUUUAUCACUUUCAGUUUAUCAACUGAAUUGCUUGAGGACAAGCAAAGGUUUAAGCUUGGGGAGUUGAUACAUCUCCGUCGUAUCUACUUUUUCAAACACUUUUGCCCUUGUUUUGAACUCUAACUUGCAUGAUUUGAAUGGAACUAACCCGAACUGACGUUGUUUUCAGCAGAAUUGCCAUGGUGUUAUUUUUAUGUAGAAAUAAAAGUUCCUCGAAAUGACCUGAAAAUCAACGGAGAAUUAUUUUGGAAUAUAUAUAUAAAAUACUGGAAGAAGAAUCCACGCCAGGGGGCCACCACCUGUCCACGAGGGUGGGGGCGCGCCUGCCCCCCUGGGCGUGACCCCUGCCUCGUGGGCCCCCUGGUGCUCCACAGACCUCAACUCCAACUCCAUAUAUUCGUGUUCGGGGAGAAAAAAUCAGAGAGAAGGAUUCAUCGCGUUUUACGAUAUGGAGCCGCCGCCAAGCCCUAAACUCUCUCGGGAGGGCUGAUCUGGAGUCCAUUCGGGGCUCCGGAGAGGGGAAUCCAUCGCCAUCGUCAUCAUCAACCUUCCUUCAUCACCAAUUUCAUGAUGCUCACCGCUGUGCGUGAGUAAUUCCAUCGUAGGCUUGCUGGACGGUGAUGGGUUGGAUGAGAUUUAUCAUGUAAUCGAGUUAGUUUUGUUAGGGAUUGAUCCCUAGUAUCCAUUAUCUUCUGAGAUUGACGUUGGUAUGACUUUGCUAUGAUUAAUGCUUGUCACUAGGGCCCGAGUGCCAUGAUUUCAGAUCUAAACCUAUUAUGUUUUCAUGAAUAUAUGUUAGUUCUUGAUCCUAUCGAUGGGCAUCUCCAUAUCCCAUUGAUUAGCCUCGUUGAUGUGAGACUUUGUCUUUUUUUGUCUUCUCCACAUAACCCCCUCAUUAUAUUCUAUUCCACACAUAGUGCUAUGUCCAUGGCUUGCACUCAUAUAUUGCAUGAAAGUUUAUAGGUUUGAGAUUACUAAAGUAUGAAACAAUUGCUUGGCUUGCCAUCGGGGUUGUGCAUGAUGAGAGCAUUCUUGUGUGACGAAAAUGGAGCAUGACCAAACUAUAUGAUUUUGUAGGGAUGAACUUUCUUUGGCCAUGUUAUUUUGAGAAGACAUAAUUGCUUAGUUAGUAUGCUUGAAGUAAUAUUACUUUUAUGUCAAUAUCAAACUUUUAUUUUGAAUUGUUCGGAUCUGAAUAUUCAUACCACAAUUAAGAGGGUUACAUUGAAAAUUAUGCCAUGUAGCACUCCACAUCAAAAAUUCUGUUUUUAUCAUUUACCUACUCGAGGACGAGCAGGAAUUAAGCUUGGGGAUGCUUGAUACGUCUCCAACGUAUCUAUAUUUUUUGAUUGUUCCAUGCUAUGUUAUAUUUUGUUUUAGAUGUUUAUUGGGCUUUAUUAUACACUUUUAUAUUAUUUUUGGGACUAACCUAUUAACAGGAGGCCCAGCCCAAAUUGCUAUUUUUUUCCUAUUUCAGUGUUUCGAAGGAAAAGGAUAUCAAACGGAGUCCAAACGGAAUGAAACAUUCGGCAACAUGAUUUUCGGAACAAACGUGAUCCAGAGGACUUGGAUUCUGCGUAAAGCAAUCAACAAGGAAGGCACGAGGUAGGGGGGCGCGGCCUCCACCCUCGUGGGGCCCUCAUUGCUCCACCGACAUACUUCUUCCUCCUAUAUAUACCCAUGUACCCUGGAAACAUCAGAGACGGAGCCAAAACCCUAAUUCCACCGCCGCAACCUUCUGUACCCGUGAGAUCCCAUCUUGGGGCCUUUUUUGGCACUCUGCCGGAGGGGGCAUUGAUCAUGGAGGGCUUCUACAUCAACACCAUAGCCUCUCCGAUGAUGUGUGAGUAGUUUAUUUCAGACCUUCAGGUCCAUAGUUAUUAGCUAGAUGGCUUCUUCUCUCUCUUUGGAUCUCAAUACAAAGUUCUCCUCGAUCUUCUUGGAGAUCUAUUCGAUGUAAUCUUCUUUUGCGGUGUGUUUGCGAGAUCUGAUGAAUUGUGGGUUUAUGAUCAAGUUUAUCUAUGAACAAUAUUUGAAUCUCCUCUGAAUUCUUUUAUGUAUUAUUGGUUUAUCUUUGCAAGUCUCUUCGAAUUAUCAGUUUGGUUUGGCCUGCUAGAUUGAUCUUUCUUGCAAUGGGAGAAGUGCUUAGCUUUGGGUUCAAUCUUGUCGUGCUCGAUCCCAGUGACAGUAAGAGAAACGACACGUAUUGUAUUGUUUCCAUCGAGGAUAAAAAUAUGGGGUUUAUAUCAUAUUGCAUGAGUUUAUCCCUCUACAUCAUGUCAUCUUACUUAAAGCAUUACUCUGUUCUUAUGAACUUAAUACUCUAGAUGCAUGCUGGAUAGCGGUCGAUGUGUGGAGUAAUAGUAGUAGAUGCAGAAUCGUUUCGGUCUACUUGUCACGGACAUGAUGCAUAUAUACAUGAUCAUACCUAGAUAUUCUCAUAACUAUGCUCAUUUCUAUAAAUUGCUCGACAGUAAUUCAUUUACCCAUCGUAAUACUUAUGCUCUUGAGAGAAGCCACUAGUGAAACCUAUGGCCCCCGGGUCUAUCUUCCAUCAUAUUAAUCUUCCAACACUUAGCUAUUUCUAUUGCCGUUUAUUUUACUUUGCAUCUUUAUUUCUCUUUAUCAUAAAAAUACCAAAAAUAUUAUCUUAUCAUAUCUAUCAGAUCUCACUCUUGUAGGUGACCGUGAAGGGAUUAACAACCCCUUUAUCGCGUUGGUUGCGAGGUUCUUAUUUGUUUGUGUAGGUGCAUGGGACUCGAGCGUAGUCUCCUACUGGAUUGAUACCUUGGUUCUCAAAAACUAAGGGAAAUACUUACGCUACUUUACUGCCUCACCCUUUCCUCUUCAAGGGAAAACCAAUGCAGUGCUCAAGAGGUAGCAUGACUUAACACCAACAGUUCACAUCUUUAUGUGAUUAGUUCACAUCUCCAUGUGACUAACACCCAAAGGGUUUACUAGAGUUAAUAAUCUAGUUCAUAUCGUUAUGUGAUUAACACCCGAAGAGUGAUCAUGUUUUGCUCGUGAGAGAAAUUUAGUCAAUGGGUCUGCCACAUUCAGAGUCGUAUGUAUUUUGCAAAUUUUCUAUGUCUACAAUGCUUUGCACGGAGCUACUCUAUCUAAUUGCUCCCACUUUCAAUAUGUAUCUAGAUCGAGACUUAGAGUCAUCCAGAUCGGUGUCAAAGCUUGCAUCGACGUAACCUUUUACGAUGAACUCUUUGUCACCUCCAUAACCGAGAAACAACAUUUCCUUAUUCUACUAAGGAUAUUUUUGACCGCUGUUCAGUGAUCCACUCCUGGAUCACUAUUGUACCAUCUUGCCAAACUUAUGGUGAGGUACACAAUAGGUCUGGUACACAGCAUAGCAUACUUUAUAGAACCUAUGACUGAGGCAUAGGGAAUGACUUUUCACUCUCUUUCUAUUUUCUGCCGGGAUCGGGUUUUGAUUCUUUACUCAACUUCACACCUUGCGACACAGGCAAGAACUCCUUCUUUAACUGCUCCAUUUUGAACUACUUCAAAAUCUUGUCAAGGUAUGUACUUGUUGAAAAUAUAUCAAGCAUCUUGAUCUAUCUCUAUAGAUCUUGAUGCUCAAUAUUUAAGUAGCUUCACCGAGGUCUUUCUUUAAAAAACUCCUUUCAAAGACUCCUUUAUGAUUUCCAGAAAAAAUCUACAUUAUUUCCGAUCAACAAUAUGUCAUUCACAUAUACUUAUUAGAAAUGUUGUAGUGCUCCAACUCACUUUCUUGCAAAUACACGCUUCUCCAAAAGUCUGUAUAAAACCAUAUUCUUUGAUCACACUAUCAAAACGUUUAUUCCAACUCCGAGAUGCUUGCACCAGUCCAUAAAUGGAUCGUUGGAGCUUGCACACUUUGUUAGCACCCUCUGGAUCGAUAAAACCUUCAGGUUGCAUCAUAUACAGCUCUUCUUCUAGAAAUACAUUCAGGAAUGCAGUCUUUACAUCCAUUUGCCAAAUUUCACAAUCAUAAAAUGCAGCAAUUGCUAACAUGAUUCAGAUGGACUUAAGCAUCGCUACGGGUGAGAAGGUCUCGUCGUAGUCAACUCCUUGAACUUGUCGAAAACCUUUCGCAACAAGUCGAGCUUUGUAGACAGUAACAUUACCGUCAGCGUCUGUCUUCUUUCUGAAGAUCCAUUUAUUCUCGAUGGCUUGCCGAUCAUCGUGCAAGUCAACCAAAUUCCAUACUUUGUUCUCAUACAUGGAUCCCAUCUCAGAUUUCAUGGCUUCAAGCCAUUUCGCAGAAUCUGGGCUCAUCAUCGCUUCCUCAUAGUUCGUAGGUUCGUGAUGGUCAAGUAACAUGACUUUCAGAACAGGAUUACCGUACCACUCUGGUGUGGAUCUUAUUCUGGUUGACCUACGAGGUUCGGUAGUAACUUGAUCAGAAGUUUCAUGAUCAUCAUCAUUAGCUUCCUCACUUAUUGGUGUAGGAAUCACUGGAACUGAUUUCAGUGAUGAACUACUUUACAAUAAAGGAGCAGGUACAGUUACCUCAUCAAGUUCUACAUUCCUCCCACUCACUUCUUUCGAGAGAAACUCCUUCUAUAGAAAGGAUCCAUUCUUAGCAACGAAUAUCUUGCCUUCGGAUCUAUGAUAGAAGGUGUACCCAACAGUUUCCUUUGGGUAUCCUAUGAAGACACAUUUCUCCGAUUUGGGUUCGAGCUUAUCAGGUUGAAGCUUUUUCACAUAAUCAUCACAGCCCCGGACUUUAAGAAAUGGCAGCUUUGGUUUCUUGACAAACCAUAGUUCAUACGGUGUCGUCUCAAUGGAUUUAGAUGGUGCCCUAUUUAAUGUGAAUGCAGCUGUCUCUAAUGCAUAACCCCAAAACAAUAGUGGUAAAUCGGUAAGAGACAUCAUAGAUCGCACCAUAUCUAAUAAAGUACGGUUAUGACAUUCGGAUACACCAUUACGCUGUGGUGUUUCCAGGUGGCGUGAGUUGCAAAACUAUUCCGCAUUGUUUCAAAUGAAGACCAAACUCGUAACUCAAAUAUUCUCCUCCACGAUCAGAUCAUAGAAACUUUAUUUUCUUGUUAUGAUGAUUUUCCACUUCACUCUAAAAUUCUUUGAACUUUUCAAAUGUUUAAGACUUAUGUUUCAUUAAGUAGAUAUACCCUUAUCUCCUCAAAUCAUCUAUGAAGUUGAGAAAAUAACGAUACCCCCGCGAGCCUCAACAUUCAUCGGACCACAUACAUCAGUAUAUAUGAUUUCCAAUAAAUCUGUUGCUCGCUCCAUUUUUCCGGAGAACGGAGUUUUAGUCAUCUUGCCCAUGAGGCAUGGUUCGCAAGUACCAAGUGAUUCCAAAAGUCCAUCAGAAUGGAGUUUCUUCAUGCGAUUUACACCAAUAUGACCUAAACGGCAGUGCCACAUAUAAGUUGCACUAUCAUUUUUAACUUUGCAUCUUUUGGCUUCAAUAUUAUGAGUAUGUGUAUCACUACGAUCGAGAUUCAAUAAACCAUUCACCUUGGGUGUAUGACCUCACAAGGUUUUAUUCAUGUAAACAGAAUAACAAUUAUUCUUGACUUAAAUGAAUAACCGGAUUGCAAUAAAUAUGAUCCAAUCAUAUUAUGCUCAAUGCAAACACCAAAUAACAUUUAUUUUAGGUUCAACACUAAUCACGAAGGUAAAGGGAGUGUGCGAUGGUGAUCUUAUCAACCUUGGAAUCACUUCCAACUCACAUCAUCACCUCACCCUUAACUAGUCUCUGUUUAUUUUGCAACUUCCGUUUCGAGUUACUACUCUUAGCAACUGAACCAGUAUCAAAUAUUGAGGGCUUGCUAUAAACACUAGUAAAGUACACAUCAAUAACAUGUAUAUCAAAUAUACUUUUGUUCACUUUGCCAUCCUUCUUAUCCGCCAAGUAUCUAGGGCAGUUUCGCUUCCAGUGAACAUUUCCUUUGCAGUAGAAGCACUCAGUUUCAGGCUUGGGUCUAGCUUUGAGCUUCUUCACUUGAGCAGUAACUUGCUUGCCGUUCUUCUUGAAUUUACCCUUCUUCCCUUUGCCCUUUUCAUGAAACUAGUGGUCUUGUCAACCAUCAACACUUGAUGCUUUUCUUGAUUUCUACCUUCGUCGAUUUCAGCAUCACGAAGAGCUUGGGAAUCGUUUCCGUUAUCCCUUGUAUAUUAUAGUUCAUCAUGAAGUUCUAGCAACUUGGUGAUAGUGACUAGAGAACUUUGUCAAUUACUAUCUUAUCUGGAAGAUUAACUCCCACUUGAUUGAAGCAAUUGUAGUACCCAGACAAUCUGAGCACAUGCUCGCUGGUUGAGCUAUUCUCCUCCACCUUGUAGACAAAGUACUGUCAGAGGUCUCAUACCUCUCGACACGGGCAUGAGUAUGAAAUACCAAUUUCAACUCUUAGAACAUCUUAUAUGUUUCGUGGCGUUCAAAACGUUUUUGAAGUCCCAGUUCUAAGCCGUAAAGCAUGGUUGUGACGCCCUCGAUUCAAUCAUACACUAAUCAUACACGCAAAUGUGUACGAUCAAGAUCAAGGACUCACGGGAAGAUAUCACAACACAACUCUAGACACAAAUUAAAAUAAUACAAGCUUUAUAUUACAAGCCAGGGGCCUCGAGGGCUCGAAUACAUAAGCUCGAUAACACAAGAGUCAGCGGAAGCAGCAAUAUCUGAGUACAGACAUAAGUUAGAAAAGUUUGCCUUAAGAAGGCUAGCACAAAAGCAACAACGAUCGAAAACGCAAGGCCUCCUUCCUGGGAGCCUCCUAACUGCUCCUGGUCGUCAGCGGUCUCCACGUAGUAGCAGGCAUCAGCGGUCGCAUCUGGCUCCUGGGCUCCGACAUCUGGUUGCAUCAACCGGAAAGAAGAAGAAAGGGGGAAAGGGGGAGCAAAGCAACCGUGAGUACUCAUCCAAAGUACUCGCAAGCAAGGAUCUACACUACAUAUGCAACAUUAUCAAAGGAAGGCUGUAUAUGUGGACUGGGCUGCAGAAAUGCCAGAAUAGAGAGAAGGCCUAGUCCUAUCAAAGACUAGCAUCUUCUGGAAACCACCAUCUUGCAGCAACAGGAUGGAGUAUAGCAGCAUAAAGUAAAGUAGUAGUAGUAGUAGUGUUAUCAACCUCGGCCAGAGAUCCUUUCUCGACACCCUGCGAGAAAGCAAUCCCAGAGCCAUACUAUCCAGUUAUCAUCACAAUCCAAUUCUCAUCACCAUCCAGUUCUCAUCACAAGUAUCCAGUUCUAGUUGUAUCGAUCGGGAUACAACUCCAAGUGUCCGUUACCGUAGGACAGGCUAUCGAUAGAUGUUUUCUUCCCAGCAGGGGUGCACCAACUUACCCACCACACUCGAUUAACUCCGGCCGGACACACUUUCCUGGGUCAAGCCCGGCCUCGGCCAAACAAUACGCCGCAACCCGACCUAGGCUUAAUAGAGAGGCAAGCACGCCGGACUAAACCAUCUCCCCGGGAACUCCUGCAUGUUGCGAACGCGGCCGGUGAGCAGACCUAGCUACCUCCCUAAAAAGGCAGGAGCUUACCAGUCCAACGCGGCGCGCGCUGCUCAGUCGCCGACGUCUAUUAAGCUUCGGCUGAUGUAUACGACGCAGAACGCCCAUACUAUGCCCACGUGAUGGUUAGUGCUAUCAGGCCAGAGGCCCCUUGGAUCAAAUAUCCAAAUCGUAGUGGAUUAGGAACGCGCGGUAACAAGCAGAGACUCACGAAAGAUGUGACCCCGUUUCCCCGUCUCGAGGACUUGCGGCAAGGGCUAGGAAUGCCCGGCCACGCCUCGUAAUUAUCUCGCGGGCACCUUCCAGGUCCGCCCGACUCCACAUCACUCGCAAUUAAGCUCGCGCGGGUACCCCUUAGGGUCGACCCAUCUUUCCAAGUAACAGUGGUAAAGUCCAAGUAUCCGUGUGUCCAAACAUCAAGGGGAAAACCCGAGGAAUCACCCCCGAUGAAUUCCACUAGAUGUAAUCAUCAAGGUGAACGUAAGAGGAAUCACCCUCGAGGUUCACACUUGAGGGGUUGCAUGACAAAGUCGUAUCGGAAGUGGUUAAGGAGGAAAUCACCCUCGAUGACCACGACCGAAUAGCUACUCUACAGAGAUCUCAUCAGGAGUGAUGUAUGAGGUUCCACCCUCGGCACUCGAUGGUAACUCUGUAGAGUCGAACAACAAAGGGGCGUGAUGUGACAUGAGGUGUCGGGGCCUGGUCUUUGAUCCCGUUGAUCGGGUCUUCUGAUAAUCCAGCGAGGCAGUCGGGUCAAGUGGGGGGUCACUGAUGUGUCUCUAACCAACCUAUACAAAGCAGUUUAGGAUAAGCAGGUAGGUAACAAUAGCAGGUUACAAUAAACAGGCUAUGCAACAGAAUAGGAGCAAACAAUAACAGUAGCAAAAUCUAGUGCAAGCAUGAGAGAAUGGAAUGGGUGAUAUCAGGAUGAUCAAAGGGGGGGCUUGCCUGGUUGCUCAGACAAGAAGGGGUCGUCGUCGACGUAGACGAUCACAGCGGCAUCAGCGGCAGUCUCGGGGUCUACCGGAGAGAAGAGGGGGAAGAAACAGUAAAUACAUAGCAAGCAAGAGCAUAACAGGACAACAGACAGAGCUAGACGUGUUCUAACGCAGUGCUACACGUUACCGGUAAAGGGGGAUAACAUCCGGGAAUGUUUCCCCAAGUUUAGCAUUUUCAGACAAAUGAAAUAGAGGGGAAAAGUUAAAUGAUCAGGUAGUUAGGGGCAUGUGGCGGACGAGCGGAUCACGUAUUCGGAUUCGUCUCGUUUUUCUGAGCAACUUUCAUGUAGAAAACAUUUUCAUCCGAGCUACGGUUUAUUUUAUAUGAUUUUCCGAAGUUGAAACAAUAUUUUGAAAUUUGUUUUAAUUACUAAAUUCAUCGGAAAAAGAAUUUUGACGUCAUCCUGGCGUCAGCCCUGCAUCAACGGUCAACAGACCAGUUGACUGGUCAACAGGGCCCACGCAGGGCCCUCAGGAAGUGACUGGGCGCUACCCAAGUCAGCAUCUGAUGGGGUCAACGGGACCCAGGGGCCCAAUGGCAGUGGCUGUGGGGGGUCCACGUGGUUAGCCACGUCAGCAACGCCGGAAACGGCGCCGGAGUUGGCUCCGGUGACCAUAUUCAACGGCGGCGCGCUCGGGAAUGGCCGGAAAUCGGCUACAAGGGGUCGCUCGGCCCGUGCAUAGGCUCGUUUGAGCGAUCGUCGAGCCGCGCAUCCAACCAUGCUGAUGGGAGGGCUCGGGGGAGGUCGGAGCAUCGCCGGCGACGAGCAAGGCGGCGGCGGUGUUCGGUGGCGCAAGGAGAAGUGGGCUGUGGGGGCUCCUUCGGCGCGGAAUCUGGCGCAUUCGAACGCAGGCAUCGCACCGUGUCGAACGGCGGCAAAGGUGGCCGUUGAAACGGCCCGCAGCGUCAGCUGCGAAGUCUAACGACGGUGGCCGGAGCUCGAGCAUGCAUGUAAGCUAACUACGGUGCACGGGGAGGAACCAAAGGAAGGAGGAGGGUGCGGAGGCUUACGGCGCGGCACACGGAGGCCCUCGAGUGAACGGGAGCGCAGAGGGGAGGCAGAAUCGAUCACGGCAGACGGCGGCGACCGAGGUUGGGGAAGAAGACGCGAGUGACGACAGUGGCGCUCCACGGGCUCGAUCUGGUGACAAGGACGAAGAAGUAGUCCACCGCGGACCUCCUGGACACCUCGAAGGGAGGAAUGGGCGCCAGUGGCCGCGGGGGAGCGCGAUGCUCGACGGCGAUGGCGCUCGGUGGCGGAUGGGGAACGAGGGGGGAGAAGGAUAUCUGGAGGGGAGUGGGAGAGACGGAGAGGGCGACAGUGGAGAGCGGGGGAGAGGACCGAGGCGUCUGGGGCCUUAUCCCCUCGUCGGGCGUCACCGGCGAGGUGGUUGGACGGCGACGGGCGCGCUGUAGCGACUCGGGUCGUGGAAUAGUGCAGGGGGAGACGACCGGGGAGGGGGAGUGGGCUGGCCAGCCGGAGUGGGCCGGCCCAGGUGGGCAGGGGGCUGUGGGCCGUCCGGUUGGCCGAGGUGGGCUGAGGCCCAAGGGGAGGCCAGGGCUCUCCCACCCCUUCUCUUUUUUUCCUUUUUCUUUUUUUCAGCAGCUUUUGCAUUUUCUUUUUAGCCAAUAAUGACUUUGCAAAAUUAUGCCACUGGCCAAAACAAUUUCAAAGAAUUAAAGUGAACUGCCACAAAAAGUUUGGGAGGCUUUUGGAAUAGUUGCCAAUUUUAUAAAUUAAAAAGGGCAUUUAAUUUAUUGCUUAGGUCACUGUUUUAAGUAGUUUAGGCCACUUAAACCCUUUGCAAAAAUAUUGGUUCACCAGCAAUAUUAGUUGUGGAAUAUUUGGCACAUGAUGAACAUUUUUGUUUUCAUGUUUGAGAAAUUUGAAUUUUGACUUUAAUUUGAAUUUGAGAUCUGGGCUGGAUUAGAAUCAAAGUGAGAUUAGCAACAGUAACAAUGAUGACAAGGCAUCAUUACAAGGGGAUUACUGUAGCAUGAUUCUCAGGGUGUUACAAAUCUCCUCCACUACAAGAAAUCUCAUCCCGAGAUUUAAGGGGUGGAGUUAGGGGGAAAGACUCGGGAAGGGCGGAGCUCAACACAAGAUAGUUACCUGGGGACUAUCUCAGUGAACGUUGCAAAGAGGCAUCUCUCGAGUAGAAAUUCAAGGAAGUCAUCGAGAGCAAAGUGAGGUGCAAUAAGAAGCUCCAACCGGUUAGGUAAUCGUUCGAUGUCUGAAACAAAGUGUGAAAGGGGCUCAGAGCAUCGAGAAUAAAUAUUGCGUCUUGAUACCAGAACAGAUCACAAGGAAGAUGGCUCGCGAAUUACAUAUGAAGCCAAGCGUGAGGGAUAACUUAGAAAACAGGGAUGUAUAGGAGAGUCAGGUUUUGAUCCUGUGGAACUGUGGGUUAUGGGCCCACCAUGUGGGUUAAAGGUAGAAAGGGGCCGAUAGCAAGGCAUGUCAGAUGAUAGACUGUCAGUUAUGUUGCCAACAACCUUGGUGCCAAGGGCGAGGGACGAAGAGAACUAUUUUCCUACUCGUUGAAUGAGGUGGACCAAUAGGCAAAGUUCUCGUCCAUUGGUGGUUACCGGAAUGUUAACAGCAAUAAUAGCAUGGUCUUACUGACAAAUUGUACACCUGGGUGUUUUCAUAGGAAGAGAAUUAAUAUUGCUUAGGUCAUAUAGACCACAAGAAAGGUUAAACAACCAAUGGAAAGGAAAAUGAAACUAUCAGAUUAAACAAACCAACGGAAAGGAAAAUGUGUCUAUCAAACUUAACAGACCAAUGGAAAGGAAACUGUGUUCAACACAAGAAUUGGGAGUAUAUCCUUCCCAAAGAAAAGCGGAGCAUGAUAUACAUGAUAGGACAUUAAGUGCAAAAGCAUUUAGAUAAAGGGGCGAGCAAAGAAUUAGGAUAUUACCCAUACAACAGUGUUUGGAUAAUAGAUCAAGAAGCAUUUAGAAUUUUGCUUCAAAUGUUCGUGUUGAUAUUCGAAAUACCACAGUCAUGCUUCGAGAUAGCACUGAUAUGGUGUUUCAAUUAAGGAUUGGUUCUGUAGAUCAUAAGAGAUUCAAAGGAACAUUUCCAAGAUUAUCUCGGAACGUAAGGUAUAACCAAACACAAUCAGGUCUGUGUUGGUAGGAAGUCAAGGACGUUGUCGAUGAUAACACAAUCAUCGAGGGGCGAGGAUGGUAUUUCUCAUCAUGAAUUCGAUUGAUAUCCUGAAACAGGUCAGUAUAUUGAUGGGGAUCACGACAGAUUUUGUCGAGGUACUAUGAAGAGGCCAUCGAACAGCGACGACAUCAAGUAAAAGGAAUGAUGCAGCAAAAGGUUAUUGGAACCACGGAUGCGACACAAGCUCAAAAUCAAGCUUGUUGUUAGAGGUGAAAUGAUAAGAUGAGGAAGAUCGACAUAAGCUUAGCUCGUCGUCCGAAGUUGUGCUCCGGGAAGAAGGACCGGGUAGCACAGUUAAAAUUAGCUCGAUAAUGAUAUAGCCGAUCAAGCUAGGAAUGAUGUGAUGGAGUAUCGUUCUAAUGAGAAUUCACAAGAGGUAGUGCAAUGGCACAAUAUCCUCGAGAUAAUAUGGGGCAAUACUCGAGGUAGAUCAAAAUAGAGGUUUGGACAGAUGAAAUGAUCUGCAGAAUACAAGUAUUUUAACUUGUCCGGGAAAUGGAAUCAAGGAGAAAAUAUGGUCGGAACCACGAUUGCAAAGAAUCAAUUUACAGAUGCAAGUUGAGCUUAUAGCAAGGGAACAUUUGAUUAUAAGAGAAGCUUCCAUGAUAAGAUCUACAUCGUGUCUAUGGGCAUGAACACAAGGUUCAAGGUCGACUCCCACUUCUUCAAUGCAUAACCUCUCAUUUACUUCUCGCUUUUGAAGAAGUUGUAAUGUAGAAAUUUUUAUCCGGCGUAACACCAGUAGAGUAUGACCCAUAGAGAUUUCCGGGUUCACACAAAUUAGGGAAAGCAUUAGCUCAACCCGUCGGGGCAUCUUAGGAACAUUUGCAAAAACUUCAGAGGUAAUUAACUCAAGCUCAGAAGCAGAGCAUGGUUGACAAAGCAGAGAAUACAAUUUACCAAAGGCAAUAUGUGUUGGGGGAAAAGCGGACAAAAUUUUGAAUAAGAACUAAACUGUCAGACAAUAAUCCAACAAAGGAUUCAGCGGUCCUUAAUGGAUCUGAUGUGAGUAUCAGUACUUAAUCAGAAGAAGGAAAGAAUGCAAAGCCAUUGGAUUAUAGAAACAUCUGAAUAAUUCGAUGCUUGAGUAUAAAGGAGUUAUGAUUUCAAGUCGAAGGGUCAGAAGCAGAGGCUCUGAUCAAAAUAUGAGUAAGUUGAAUAGACUUAGCGGUGCACCCGAUCAAAUCUUGAUUGGGCAAAAACCAGCUCAUAACCAGAGCGAUGUCGGAGCCGAAAAGAAAAUUUCCAAGGAUUAAUUGAUGAUUGCGAGUAUUCGCUCACACAUUGAAUCCAUAAGAACAGAAUAACAACCACAAAGAGUUUUAAAGAAUAUUGCUAGACAUAUGGAAUUAAUCCUAAUGCAAGCAGGCAUGAAUUUCAAGAGCAACAAGGGGUGUAGAGAAAUUUCGAAAGAUCGAUUAACAAUGGGAAUGAUAUUGCGAAGCACAUGAUCAACUAGGGAUGAACGAAUCCCUGAUAAGUGUGAGGAAUUAUCUGCAGUGCGAAAGAAGCUGCAAAGCAGAAGCACAAGGAUUCUCGGAACAACGAAUAGUAUUGGGGUAACUUGUAAUCAUCAAGAGCGAUUGGGAAUGAUUGUAUGAACCACACGCGUAAGUCGUUAUCCAUAUGAAUAUAACGGUGGUAGGGAAUUGCAAAGGCGGAGGUCACAAGGGUCUCGGGAAAACAUCGGAGAGUAACUGCAGAAUCUUCUGGUGCAGUAAGCGGUCAUCGUAAUGUCGGGGCUCUCCAGAAGGAAGUGGUUACGAUAUCCUAGAGUAAGGGUUAGUAAAAAGUUUAACCCGAAUAGACGAGAGAUCGGAGUCCCAGAGUAUAGAUGAGGAACAAAAGAUCCUAAUACCACCAAAUGGCGACAUGGGUCCAUAAGACACACAACCAAGUUAGUAAAAGUUUUGUAAAGACUAGACUCGACUUCGGCCAAGGAGUUGGAAGGGGGGCUACCUAUAGGCAGUCGGCUCUGAUACCAAUUUGUGACGCCCUCAUUUCAAUCAUAGACUAAUCAUACACGCAAAUGUGUACGAUCAAGAUCAAGGACUCACGGGAAGAUAUCACAACACAACUCUAGACACAAAUUAAAAUAAUACAAGCUUUAUAUUACAAGCCAGGGGCCUCGAGGACUCGAAUACAUAAGCUCGAUAACACAAGAGUCAGCGGAAGCAGCAAUAUCUGAGUACAGACAUAAGUUAGACAAGUUUGCCUUAAGAAGGCUAGCACAAAAGCAACAACGAUCGAAAAGGCAAGGCCUCCUGCCUGGGAGCCUCCUAACUGCUCCUGGUCGUCAGCGGUCUCCACGUAGUAGCAGGCAUCGGCGGUGGCAUCUAGCUCCUGGGCUCUGACAUCUGGCUUCAUCAACCGGAAAGAAGAAGAAAGGGGGGAAAGGGGGAGCAAAGCAACCAUGAGUACUCAUCCAAAGUACUCGCAAGCAAGGAUCUACACUACAUAUGCAACAUUAUCAAAGGAAGGCUGUAUAUGUGGACUGGGCUGCAGAAAUGCUAGAAUAGAGAGAAGGCCUAGUCCUAUCGAAGGCUAGCAUCUUCUAGAAACCACCAUCUUGCAGCAACAGGAUGGAGUAUAGCAGCAUAAAGUAAAGUAGUAGUAGUGUUAUCAACCUCGGCCAGAGAUCCUUUCUCGACACCCUGCGAGAAAACAAUCCCAGAGCCAUACUAUCCAGUUAUCAUCACAAUCCAAUUCUCAUCACCAUCCAGUUCUCACCACAAGUAUCCAGUUCUAGUUGUAUCGAUCAGGAUACAACUCCAAGUGUCUGUUACCGUAGGACAGUCCAUCGAUAGAUGUUUUCUUCCCUGCAGGGGUGCACCAACUUACCCACCACGCUCGAUUAACUCCGGUCGGACACACUUUCCUGGGUCAUGCCCGGCCUCGGCCAAACAAUACACCGCAACCCGACCUAGGCUUAAUAGAGAGGCCAGCACACCGGACUAAACCAUCUCCCCGGGAACUCCUGCACGUUGCGAACGUGGCCAGUGAGCAGACCUAGCUACCUCCCUAAAAGGCAGGAGCUUACCAGUCCAACCCGGCGCGCGCCGCUCAGUCGCUGACGUCUAUUAAGCUUCGGCUGAUGUAUACGACGCAGAACGCCCAUACUAUGCCGAUGUGAUGGUUAGUGCUAUCAGGCCAGAGGCCCCUCGGAUCAAAUAUCCAAAUCGUAGUGGAUUAGGAACGCGCGGUAACAAGCAGAGACUCACGAAAGAUGUGACCCCGUUGCCCCGUCUCGAGGACUUGCGGCAAGGGCUAGGAAUGCCCGGCCACGCCUCGUAAUUAUCUCGUGGGCACCUUCCAGGUCCGCCCGACUCCACAUCACUCGCAAUUAAGCUCGCGCGGGUACCCCUCAGGGUCAACCCGUCUUUCCAAGUAACAGUGGUAAAGUCCAAGUAUCCGUGUGUCCAAACAUCAAGGGAAAACCCGAGGAAUCACCCCUGAUGAAUUCCACUAGAUGUAAUCAUCAAGGUGAACGUAAGAGGAAUCACCCUCGAGGUUCACACUUGAGGGGUUGCACCAUAGAGUCAUAUCGGAAGUGGUUAAGGAGGAAAUCACCCUCGAUGACCAUGACCGAAUAGCUACUCUACAGAGAUCUCAUCAGGAGUGAUGUAUGAGGUUCCACCCUCGGCACUCGAUGGUAACUCUGUAGAGUCGAGCAACAAAGGGGCGUGAUGUGACGUGAGGUGUCGGGGCCUGGUCUUUGAUCCCGUUGAUCGGGUCUUCUGAUUAUCCGGCGAGGCAGUCGGGUCAAGUGGGGAGGUCACUGAUGUGUCUCUAACCAACCUAUACUAAGCAGUUUAGGAUAAGCAGGUAGGUAACAAUAGCAGGUUACAAUAAACAGGCUAUGCAACAGAAUAAGAGCAAACAAUAACAGUAUCAAAAUCUAGUGCAAGCAUGAGAGAAUGGAAUGGGCGAUAUCGGAAUGAUCAAAGGGGGGGCUUGCCUGGUUGCUCAGAUAAGAAGAAGGGGUCGUCGUCGACGUAGACGAUCACAGCGGCAUCAGCGGCAGUCUCGGUGUCUACCGGAGAUAAGAGGGGGAAGAAAAAGUAAAUACAUAGCAAGCAAGAGCAUAACAGGACAACAGACAGAGCUAGACGUGUUCUAACGCGGUGCUACACGUUACCGGUGAAGGGGGAUAACAUCCGGGAAUGUUUCCCCAAGUUUAGCAUUUUCAGACAGGUGAAACGGAGGGGGAAAGUUAAAUGAUCAGGUAGUUAGGGGCAGUGGCGGACGAACGGAUCGCAUAUUCGGAUUCGUCUCGUUUUUCUGAGCAACUUUCAUGUAGAAAAUAUUUUCAUCCGAGCUACGGUUUAUUUUAUAUGAUUUUUCGAAGUUUAAACAAUAUUUUCAAAUUUGUUUUAAUUACUAAAUUCAUCAGAAAAAGAAUUGUGACGUCAUCCUGGCUUCAGCCCUGCAUCAGCGGUCAACAGACCAGUUGACUGGUCAACAGGGCCCACGCGGGGCCCUCAGGCAGUGACUGGGCGCUACCCAGUCAGCAUCUGACGGGGUCAACGGGACCCAGGGGCCCAAUGGCAGUGGCUGUGGGGGGUCCGUGUGGUCAGCCACGUCAGCAACGCCGGAAACGGCGCCGGAGUUGGCUCCGGUGACCAUAUUCAACGGCGGCUCGCUCGGGAAUGGCCGGAAAUCGGCUACAAGGGGUCGCUUGGCCCAUGCGUAGGCUCGUUUGAGCGAGCGUCGAGCCGCGCAUCCAACGGUGCUGAUGGGAGGGCUCGGGGGCGGUCGGAGCAUCACCGGCGACGAGCAAGGCGGCGGUGGCGUUCGGUGGCGCAAGGAGAAGUGGUCUGUGGGGGCUCUUUCGGCGCGGAAUCUGGCGCAUUCGAACGCGGGCAUCGCACCGUGUUGAACGGCGGCAAAGGUGGCCGUUGAAACGGCCCGCAGCGUCAGCUGCGAAGUCUAACGACGGUGGCCGGAGCUCGAGCAUGCGUGGAAGCUAACUACGGUGCACGGGGAGGAACCAUAGGAAGGAGGAGGGUGCGGAGGCUUACGGCGCGGCACACGGAGGCCCUCAAGUGAACGGGAGCGCAGAGGGGAGGCGGAAUCGAUCGCGGCAGACGGCGGCGACCGAGGUUGGGGAAGAAGAUGCGAGUGACGAUGGUGGCGCUCCACGGGCUCGAUCUGGUGACGAGGACGAAGAAGUAGUCCACCGCGGACCUCCUGGACACCUCGGAGGGAGGAAUGGGCGCCGGUGGCCGCGGUGGAGCACGAUGCUCGACGGCGAUGGCGCUCGGUGGCGGAUGGGGAACGAGGGGGGAGAAGGAGAUCUGGAGGGGAGUGGGAGAGACGGAGAGGGCGACAGUGGAGAGCGGGGGAGAGGACCGAGGCGUCUGGGGCCUUAUCCCCUCGUCGGGCGUCGCCGGCGAGGUGGUUGGACGGCGACGGGCGCGCUGUAGCGACUCGGGUCGUGGAAUAGUGCGGGGGGAGACGACCGGGGAGGAGGAGUGGGCUGGCCAGCCGGAGUGGGCCGGCCCAGGUGGGCAGGGGGCUGUGGGCCGUCCGGUUGGCCGAGGUGGGCUGAGGCCCAAGGGGAGGCCAGGGCUCUCCCACCCCUUCUCUUUUUUUCCUUUUUCUUUUUUUCAGCAGCUUUUGCAUUUUCUUUUUAGCCAAUAAUGACUUUGCAAAAAAUUUCCACUGGCCAAAACAAUUUCAAAGAAUUAAAGUGAACUGCCACAAAAAGGUUGGGAGGCUUUUGGAAUAGUUGCCAAAUUUAUAAAUUAAAAAGGGCAUUUAAUUUAUUGCUUAGGUCACUCUUUUAAGUAGCUUAGGCCACUUAAACCCUUUGCAAAAAAUUUGGUUCACCACCAAUAUUAGUUGUGGAAUAUUCGGCACAUGAUGAACAUUUUUUUCAUGUUUGAGAAAUUUGAAUUUUGACUUUAAUUUGAAUUUGAGAUCUGGGCUGGAUUAGAAUCAAAGUGAGAUUAGCAAUAGUAACAAUGAUGACAAGGCAUCAUUAGAAGGGGAUUACUGUAGCAUGAUUCUCGGGGUGUUGCAAUGGUGCACUAAACUAUUAAGUAGUCAUCAUACAGAGCUUUGUCAAACGUUCAUAAUGUGUGCAUCUGCUCCUGCAAUUGGUCUAUCACCUAGCGGUGCAUCAAGGACAUAAUUCUUCUAUGCAGCAAUGAGGAUAAUCCUCAGAUCACGGACCUAGUCCGCAUCAUUGCUAAUAUCAUCUCUCAACUUAGUUUUCUCUAGGAAUAUAUCAAAAAUAAACGGGGACCUACAUAGCAAGCUAUUGAUCUACAACAACAUAGACAUGCAAAAUACUAUCAGGUACUAAGUUCAUGAUAAAUUAAAGUUCAAUUGAUCAUAUUACUUAAGAACUCCCACUUAGAUAGACAUCCCUCUAAUCAUCUAAGUGAUUACGUGAUCCAUAUCAACUAAACCAUGUCCGAUCAUCACGUGAGAUGGAGUAGUUUUUAAUGGUGAACAUCACUAUGUUGAUCAUAUCUACUAUAUGAUUCACGCUUGACCUUUCGGUCUCAGUGUUCCAAGGCCAUAUCUGCAUAUGCUAGGCUCGUCAAGUUUAACCCGAGUAUUCUGCGUGUGCAAUACUGGCUUGCACCCGUUGUAUGUGAACAUAGAGCUUAUCACACCCGAUCAUCACGUGGUGUCUCGGCACGAAGAACUGUCGCAACGGUGCAUACUCAGGGAGAACACUUAUACCUUGAAAUUUAGUGAGACAUCAUCUUGUAAUGCUACCGCCGUACUAAGCAAAAUAAGAUGCAUAAAGGAUGAACAUCACAUGCAAUCAAUAUAAGUGAUAUGAUAUGGCCAUCAUCAUCUUGCACCUUUGAUCUCCAUCUCCAAAGCACCAUCAUGAUCACCAUCAUCACCGGCUUGACACCUUGAUCUCCAUUGAAGCAUCAUUGUCGUCUCACCAAUUAUUGCUUCCACGACUAUCGCUACUGCUUAGUGAUAAAGUAAAGCAAUUACAUGGCGAUUGCAUUUCAUACAAUAAAGCGACAACCAUAUGGCUCCUGCCAGUUACCGAUAAUUGUAUUGCAAAACAUGAUCAUCUCAUACAAUAAAAUUUAACAUCAUGUCUUGACCAUAUCACAUCACAACAUGCCCUGCAAAAACAAGUUAGACGUCCUCUACUUUGUUGUUGCAAGUUUUACGUGGCUGCUACGGGCUGAGCAAGAACCGUUCUUACCUACGCAUCGAAAACCACAACGCGGUAUAGUGAUUGCUUUUUGAUCUUCUAAAAGAACCCUGUUCAUUGAAUCCAAUUCAACUAAAGUUGGAGAAACUGACACCCACCAGCCACCUGUGUGCUCAGCACGUCGGUAGAACUAGUCUCGCGUAAGUGUACGCGUAAUGUUGGUAUGGGCCGCUUCAUCCAACAAUACCGCCGAAUCAAGAAUCAACUAGUGACGGCAAGCAAUAUGUAUAUACCCACGCCCACAACUCCUUUGUGUUCUACUCGUGCAUAUAACAUCUACGCAAAAAUCUGGCUCGGAUGCCACUGUUGGGGAACGUAGUAAUUUCAAAAAAAAUGCCUACGCACACGCAAGAUCAUCGUGAUGCAUAGCAACGAGAGGGAAGAGUGUUAUCUACGUACCCUCGUAAACCUUAAGCGGAAGAAUUUAUCAACACGGUUGAUGUAGUCGUACACCUUCAUGAUCCGUCCCGAUCAAGUACCGAACAUACGCCACCUCCGCGUUCAGCACACGUUCAGCUCGAUGACGUCCUCGCCUUCUUGAUCCAGCAAGAGGGGUGAAGUAGUAGAUGAGUUCCGGAAGCACGACGGCGUGGUGAUGGUGUUGGUGAAGAACAAUCUCCGCAGGACUUCGCCUAAGCACUACGAAAACUAUGACGGAGGAUAAACUAGAGGGGAUGGGGUUGCCGGCACACGGAUUGGUGUUUCUUGAUGUGUCUUUGGUGCUAGCCCUGCCCCUCUAUUUAUAUGUUGAGCCCUAGGGUCGAAACUUGGAGUAAAAGCCUCCUCAAAGUCGGUUUUGCCCGAAAGGCGAGAGUCCUACUCGGACUCCAGGGCUAGACGCCAGGGUUCCCGGCGUCUACCCCUAGACACUAGGGUUCUUGGCGUCUAGCCUCUAGUCUCCGCAAAACUUCCUUUUGCACUUUCCAAAAUCCUCGUGGGCUUUCCCCUUUGGCCCAAAUAAAGUGUUCUCGUACCCAAACAUUUCGAGAAACAUCUGGAACCCCUUCCGGUGAAUUCUGGAACCCUACCGGAGACCAAACACUAUUAUCCCAUAUAUCAAUCUUUACCUCCGGACCAUUCCGGAGCUCCUCGUCAUUGAUACGUCUCCAACGUAUCUACUUUUCCAAACAUUUUUGCCCUUGUUUUGGACUAUAAAUUGCAUGAUUUGAAUGGAACUAACCCGGACAGACACUGUUUUCAGCAGAAUUGCCAUGGUGUUAUUUUUGUGCAAAAAUAAAAGUUCUUAGAAUGACCUGAAAAUCAACGGAGAAUAAUUUUGGAAUAUAUAAAAAAUAUUGGCGAAAGAAUCAACGUCAGGGGGCCCACACCCAGUCCACGAGGGUGGAGGCACGCCCCCUGCCUCGUGGGCCCCCUGGUGCUCCACCGACGUCCAUCCUGACUCCAUAUAUUCACGUUCAGGGAGAAAAAAAUCAAAGAGAAGGAUUCAUCGCAUUUUACGAUACGGAGCUGCCGCCAAGCCCUAAACUCUCUCGGGAGGGCUGAUCUGGAGUCCGUUUGGGGCUCCGGAGAGGGAAAUCCGUCGCCACCGUCAUCAUCAACCUUCCUCCAUCACCAAUUUCAUGAUGCUCACCGCCGUGCGUGAGUAAUUCCAUCAUAGGCUUGCUGGACGGUGAUUGGUUGGAUGAGAUUUAUCAUGUAAUCGAGUUAUUUUGUUAGGGUUUGAUCCCUAGUAUCCAUUAUGUUCUGAGAUUGAUGUUGCUAUGACUUGGCUAGGCUUAAUGCUUGUCACUAGGGCCCGAGUGCCAUGAUUUCAGAUCUGAACCUAUUAUGUUUUCAUGAAUAUAUGUGAGUUCUUGAUCCUAUCUUGCAAGUCUAUAGUCACCUAUUAUGUGUUAUGAUCUGUUAACCCCGAAGUGACAAUAAUCGGGAUACUUACCGGUGAUGACCGUAGUUUGAGGAGUUCAUGUAUUCACUAAGUGUUAACGCUUUGGUCCGGUACUCUAUUAAAAGGAGGCCUUAAUAUCCCAUAGUUUCCAAUAGGACCCCGCUGCCACGGGAGGGUAUGACAAAAGAUGUCAUGCAAGUUCUUUUCCAUAAGCAUGUAUGACUAUAUUCGGAAUACAUGCCUACAUUACAUUGAUGAACUGAAGCUUGUUCUGUGUCACCCUAUGUUAUAACUGUUGCAUGAUUGAUCGCAUCUGACAUAAUUAUCCAUCAUUGAUCCAUUGCCUACGAGCUUUCCAUAUAUUGUUCUUUGCUUAUUUACUUUUCCGUUGCUGCUGUUACAAUCACUAUAAAACCCAAAACUGCUACCAUUACUUUUGCCACCGUUACCACUACUAUCAUAUUACUUUGCUACUAAAUACUUUGCUGCAGAUAUUAAGUUUUCCAUGUGUGGUUGAAUUGAGAACUCAGUUGCUAAUACUUCAGAAUAUUCUUUGGCUCCCCUUGUGUCGAAUCAAUAAAUUUGGGUUGAAUACUCUACCCUCGAAAACUGUUGCGAUCCCCUAUACUUGUGGGUUAUCAAGACUAUUUUCCAGCGCCGUUGCCGGGGAGCAUAGCUCUAUUCUUUGAGUCACUUGAGAUUUAUAUUUGUUGAUCACUAUGAAGAACUUGAAAGAUAAAAGAACCAAGAUUUUUCCCUCAACUACGAGGGGAGGUAAGGAACUGCCAUCUAGCUCUGCACUUGAUUCACCUUUUGUUUUGAGUAAACUUGCGACACCUACUCCUACUAUUCAUUCUAAUAUGUCGCAUGUUAUUGAUGAUGCCACUUCUGCUUUGCAUGAUACUUAUGAUGAAAGUACUUCUAUGCUUGAUAAUACUAUGCCACUAGGUGAAUUUCUUGAUGAACAACUUGCUAGGGCAAGAGAGAAUGUGUAACACCCCGGAUGUAACUUACCUUAUUUGUACUCCAACUCUUGCCGUUUCCGGCGUUAAGUUAUUUUAUUUCCUCGGGUUUGGGUUUUUGUCUCCGUGUGUUGUUGUUGUUGUUGUCGUUGUCAUGCAUCUCAUAUCAUGUCAUCAUGUGCAUUGCAUUUGCAUACGUGUUCGUCUCAUGCAUCCGGGCAUUUUCCCCGUUGUUCGUUUUGCAUUCCGGCACUUCUAUCUCCUCCGGUGGUCAUUUCUACCUUCUUUUCUUAUAUGGGGGUUAAACAUUUCUGGAUUGGACCGAGACUUUCCAAGCGGCCUUGGUUUACUACCGGUAGACCGCAUGUCAAGUUUCGUACCAUUUGGACUUCGUUUGAUGCUCCAACGGUUAACCGAGGGACCGAGAAGGCCUCGUGUGUGUUGCAGCCCAACACCCCUCCAAUUUGGCCCAAAACCCACCAAAACCCUCUCCAUCAUAUAGAGCGUUCGAUCACGAUCGCGUGGCCGAAAACCGCACCUCAUUUGGACACUCCUAGCUCCCUCUAUGCCUAUAAAUAGCCCCCCUCCGAAAUUCACGUUUCCUUCUUCCCCCGAAACCCUAGAUCCACUCCUCCGCUCACCGGACAACGUCCGCCGGCACCGGACGUGUCUGACCCGCCCGCCAGCGCCACGUGUCAGCCGCCCAUUCGCCGCGCCACCGCCGGCCCGGGAGGCCCAGACCGGGCCCCCGAGGCCCACAUCGCCGCGCCGCGCCAGGGCGCUCCCCGCCGCCACAUNNNNNNNNNNNNNNNNNNNNNNNNNNNNNNNNNNNNNNNNNNNNNNNNNNNNNNNNNNNNNNNNNNNNNNNNNNNNNNNNNNNNNNNNNNNNNNNNNNNNNNNNNNNNNNNNNNNNNNNNNNNNNNNNNNNNNNNNNNNNNNNNNNNNNNNNNNNNNNNNNNNNNNNNNNNNNNNNNNNNNNNNNNNNNNNNNNNNNNNNNNNNNNNNNNNNNNNNNNNNNNNNNNNNNNNNNNNNNNNNNNNNNNNNNNNNNNNNNNNNNNNNNNNNNNNNNNNNNNNNNNNNNNNNNNNNNNNNNNNNNNNNNNNNNNNNNNNNNNNNNNNNNNNNNNNNNNNNNNNNNNNNNNNNNNNNNNNNNNNNNNNNNNNNNNNNNNNNNNNCCGCACUCCUCGCCGGCCGGCGCCGCCCGCGACCACGCCGGCGACCGCGCCCGUGGCCACCUCCACCUCUCCGGCCACCUCGCCGGCGACCGGCUCCCCCUCCUCCGCGGCAAGUUCCAACUCCGGCGAGCUCGAGCUACAGCAACUCCGGCGAGUGCAUCGGGAACCAUGCCGAUCCAGAUCUGGAAAAAUUCGGUUGACUUCUUCUUAGAAACCCUAAUUAUUUUGCCUUCUUGCUCGUGCCGUAACUCCGCAUCUGUAGCUUCGUUUUGCGUGUGUAGCAUAUCAAAAUGUUCGUCUGAGAGAGUACACCAUUUCAUCUCAUUGCAUCAUUUUCAUUUGAGCUCAUCUUGAUGCCCGGAAUGCUGUUGGAAGAGAGCUAUUUGAGUUAAUUGUCAGAUCUGCUGCACCAAAUAGCUAUUUGUCAUUAUUGUCAUGUUUAAUGUGUGCAUGAUAUGCUCUUGAGCUCUACAUGUGUUUUGUUAUAUGAUUUGCCAUCUUUACAGAGGUGCUAUCCAUGUAUUUUUGUGAUAUGUGUGGUGAAUAGCACAAGCUUGCAAAGUGGUGCAUUCGUUAAUGCUGAUUUCAGGUACUUAGCAAUUCCAUAAAGUCCUUGAUCUGUUUUUAUCAAUAUGCCAUAUGUUCAUGUUGUUUCCUAGUGAUCCGUGCCUCUUUUGAGGAUGAUCAGUAAGUAUGUUUUGUUAAUCUUGUAGUGUUCUAUCCAUCCAUGUCUUUGUUUGCAAUUAUGGAGCACCCUAGCUUCAGUCAAUCGAGCUCUACUUUUGCUAUUUCGUGAAUCUGGGCAGAUUGUCUACUUGUUAGCGAUUUUGCCGAGGAUGUUGUUGUUGAUCCGUGCAUGCUAUGUUGUUGUUCUUGCCAUUUCUAGCUUAUAUAAUGUGUAUUCUUGAUGUGUGUAUGCUUAGAUUGUCAUGCUUUGCUCUGUAGUGAGUGCAUCGAGCUCGUAAACAUGCCUACUCGUUAACAAAUUUGCAUCUUCCAGUUUUUCACUAAGUCUGAGAUCUGAUUAUGUUUUUGCCAUGUUCACAUGCUUCCAAUUGUAUUUUCUGAUCCCUUUUGGCUCAAGGUCACUAAGGGACUUUUGUUAAGCUCUUUGAGUAGCUUCAUGGCAUCCCUUGCUUUGCCAUGUUAAGUUCCCGUAGCAUAUAGUUUUAAUGCUUCAAAGUGUGCUACCUGAUCUGAAAUUCCAGGCUUGUGUUAAUUUCACCAAGUCUGAAACCUGUUUACCAAUUGCACUUUUGCCAUGCUUGUUUGAACCUGUUAAUGGAUGAAUUGGCCGUAGCUCAGUGUUCAUCUUUUGUUCAGAAUUAUGAGUGGAUCCCUGCCAUGUAUUUUGUUACCAUGUUUGAGUGAUGUAGCAUAUUUAUAUUGAUGCAUUUAUAUGGCUACUUGCUGUUUAUCGCAGACCGGUGCCAUAUUUGUUUUGCUUGCCAUUUUCAAACCGUGCAUCCGAUUCCAGUGUUCUUUACAUCGAUUUCAACCGAAAUCACCUCACCUUUCCAGUGGAACACUUGGAUACCCGAGUUGAGUCCAGGUUCAAUCAUUCCUUGUCAAAUCUUGCAUAUGCAUCACGUAUCGCAUCCCGCUUAGCAUACCAUGUUUGCAUCAUGUUGUUCGAGCAUUUGCACGUGGUUGAUUGUCUUCCUUUUGCUUGUUUGUCUUGUUUGGGUAGAGCCGGGAGACGAGUUCGUUAACAAGGAGCCCAUUGAGUUUGCUUUCAAGAAUCCAGUCAACUCUGACAACUUUGCAGGCAAGAUGAUCAUACCCUCGAAAUCACUUCUAUCUUUGCUUUGCUAGAUGCUCGCUCUUUUGCUAUGCCUAUGCUACGAUGCCUACCACUUGCUUAUCAUGCCUCCCAAAUUGCCAUGUCAAACCUCUAACUCACCAUGUCCUAGCAAACCGUUGAUUGGCUAUGUUACCGCUUUGCUCAGCCCCUCUUAUAGCGUUGCUAGUUGCAGGUGAAGAUUGGAGAUUGUUCCUUGUUGGAACAUUAUUUUCUUGCUGGGAUAUCAUUAUAUUAUCUUGUUAUCUUAAUGCAUCUAUAUACUUGGUAAAGGGUGUAAGGCUCGGCCUCUUGCCUAGUGUUUUGUUCCACUCUUGCCACCCUAGUUUCCGUCAUAUCGGUGUUAUGUUCCCGGAUUUUGCGUUCCUUACGCGGUUGGGUGAUAAUGGGAACCCCUUGACAGUUCGCCUUGAAUAAAACUCUUCCAGCAAUGCCCAACCUUGGUUUUACCAUUUGCCACCUAGCCUCUUUUUCCCUUGGGUUUCCGGAGCCCAAGGGUCAUCUUAUUUAAACCCCCCCAGGCCAGUGCUCCUCUGAGUGUUGGUCCAACCUGUCAGCUGCCGGUGGCCACCAGGGGCAACUCUGGGCUGGCCUACCCGUACCUUGGACAAUCUAAGUGUGCCCUGAGAAAGAGAUAUGUGCAGCUCCUAUCGGGAUUUGUUGGCACAUUUGGGCGGUGUUGCUGGUUUAGUUUUACCUUGUCGAAAUGUCUUGUAACCGGGAUUCCGAGUCUGAUCGGGUCUUCCCGCUAGAAGGAAUAUCCUUCGUUGAGUGUGAGAGCUUGUCAUGGGCUAAGUUGGGACUCGCCUGCAGGGAUUUGAACUUUCGAAAGCCGUGCCCGCGGUUAUGGGCAGAUGGGAAUUUGUUAAUGUCCGGUUGUAGAUAACUUGAACCUUAACUUAAUUAAAAUGAAUCAACGGUGUGAGUUACCGUGAUGGUCUCUUCUCGGUGGAGUCCGGGAAGUGAACACGGUGUUGGAGUAAUGUUUGCCGUAAUUGGUUCUCUAGUGCUUCAUUCGUGCUUUGCCCUCUCUUCUCGCUCUCUUUUGCGAACAGGUUAGCCACCAUAUAUGCUAGUCGCUUGCUGCAGCUCCACAUUUUACCUUACCUUACCUAUAAGCUUAAAUAGUCUUGAUCGCGAGGGUGCGAGAUUGCUGAGUCCCUGUGGCUCAUAGAUUACUUCCAAACCAGAUGCAGGGCCCGAUGACUCCGUUCCAGAUGAUGCGCGUGAGCUCAAGUGGGAGUUCGACGAAGACUCACGCCGUUACUAUGUGUCUUUCCCUGAUGAUCAUUAGUGGUGCCCAGUUGGGGCGAUCGGGACCGUGUCGCAUGUUGGGUUGAUCUUUUAUUUUGGUACCAUAGUUGGACCAUGAGUGAUUGGAUGAUUGUAAAGCUAUUUAUGUACUUUGUGUGACGUGGCGAGUGUAAGCCAACUAUGUACCUUUCCCCUUUUAUCUAUAUUACAUGGGAUUUUGUGAAGAUUACCUUACUUGUGACAUUGCUUUCAAUGCGGUUAUGCCUCUAAGUCAUGCUUCGACACGUAGGAGAUAUAGCCGCAUCGAGGGAGUUACAGAAUGAAAUUAUUGAAACUGAUAAUAUUGAUGAAAGUGAUCAUGAAGAUUCUCCCCCUAGAUAUGAAUUGCCUGUUGUGCUUGAGGGCUUUGUUAUGGAUGAAGAAACUGCUAGAGACUUUCUUGCUUGCAAUGAUAGAUAUGAUCUUAAGAAAUUAUUAGCUAAGCUGAAAGAAAAAUCUUUUAAUGCUAGAAUGAAGCAUGACCCUGCUUUUGCUAUUUCACCUAUCUUUAUCACUAAUAAGGAUUAUGAUUUCUCUGUCGAUCCUGAGUUAAUUACUUUGGUUGAAUCUGAUCCUUUUUAUGGCUAUGAAUCUGAAACUGUUGUGGCACAUCUUACUAAAUUAAAUGAUAUAGCCACCCUGUUCACUAAUGAUGAGAAAACUCGCUAUUACUUUAUCCUUAAGUUGUUUCCGUUCCCAUUAAAGGGUGAUGCUAAAACAUGGUUUAAUUCUCUUGAUCCUGGUUGUGUGCGUAGUCCCCGGGAUAUGAUUUAUUACUUCUGUGCUAAAUAUUUCACCGCUCAUAAGAAACAAGCUGCUUUAAGGGAAAUAUAUAAUUUUGUGCGAAUUGAAGAAGAGAGUCUCCCACAAGCUUGGGGGAGGCUUCUCCGAUUACUUAAUGCUUUGCCUGAUCAUCCUCUCAAGAAAAAUGAAAUAGUUGAUAUCCUUUAUAAUGGACAAACCGAUUCUUCCAAAGACCACCUGGAUAGUUGUGAUAGUUGUGUUUUCAGGGAAAGAACUGUUGGUAAAGCUGAAUUGCUAUUGAAUAAUAUGUUGAGUAAUGAAAAUGAUUGGACACUUCCUGAACCAACUCCUAAGCCAACUCCAAAGAAAAGAGGUAUUCUAUUUCUCAGUCCUGAAGAUAUGCAAGAGGCGAAGAAAUCUAUGAAAGAAAAAGGUAUUAAAGAUGAAUAUGUUAAGAAUUUACCACCUAUUGAUGAAAUACAUGGUCUUGAUAACCCGACACAGGUAGUAAAGGUAAAUUCUCUCUAUAGAUUUGAUGAAGGUGAUAUUCCUCGUUAUAAGUCUGCUAGCCAAUGCUUAGAUGAGUUUGAUAAUUUUAUUGUUAAACAAGAAAACUUCAAUGCUUAUGUUGGUAGAUAAUUGAAACGCAAUGCUGAUAUCUUGAACACUUGAGUGAUUAUAUGUCUAGAGUUAAAGGUGAACUUAAACUUAUUAGUAAACAUGCUUCUAUGGUUACCACUCAAGUAGAAGAAGUACUUAAGGCUGAGAAUGAUUUGCUCAAUGAAUUAAAUAAUAAUAAAAAUAAUAAUGUUGUUAGAGUUUUGACUAGAGGGGGUAAAAUGACUCAGAAACCUUUGUAUCCUGAGGGCAACCCUAAGAGAAUGGAGCAAGAUUCUCAGAGAACUAAUGUUGAUGCACCUAGUUCUUCUAAGAAGAAAAAGAAAAAUGAUAGGACUUUGCAUGCUUCUAGUGAACCUGUUGUAGACACACCUGAGAAUCCCAAUGAUAUUUCUAUUUCCAAUGCUGAAACACAAUCUGGUGAUGAACAUGAACCUAGUGAUAAUGUUAAUGAUGAUGUUCAUGUUGAUGUUAAUGCUCAACCUAGCAAUGAUAAUGAUGUAGAGAUUGAACCUGCAGUUGAUCUUGAUAACCCACAAUCAAAGAAUCAACAUUAUGAUAAAAGAGACUUUGUUCCUAGGAAGCAUGGUAAGAAAGAGAACCAUGGGUUCAAAAACCCAUGCCUUUUCCUCCUAAACCAUCCAAGAAAAAGGAUGAUGAGGAUUUUCAGCGCUUUGCUGAAAUGAUUAGACCUAUCUUUUUGCGUAUGCGUUUGACUGAUAUGCUUAAAAUGAACCCUUAUGCUAAUUAUAUGAAAGAAAUUGUUACAAAUAAAAGAAAGAUACCGGAAGCUGAAAUUUCCACCAUGCUUGCUAAUUACACUUUUAAGGGUGGAAUACCAAAGAAGCUUGGAGAUCCAGGAGUACCAACUAUACCAUGCUCCAUUAAAAGAAACUAUGUUAAAACUGCUUUAUGUGAUCUUGGAGUCGGUGUCAGUGUUAUGACUCUAUCUUUAUAUCGUAGACUUGAUUUGAAUAAGUUGACACCUACUGAAAUAUCUUUGCAAAUGGAUGAUAAAGCAAUUGCUAUACAUGUAGGUAUUUGUGAGGAUGUGCCUGUUGUGGUUGCAAACAUUACUAUUUUAACGGACUUUGUUAUUCUUGAUAUUCCCGAGGACGAUAGUAUGUCUAUUAUUCUUGGUAGAGCCUUUUUGAAUACUGUAGGGGCUGUUAUUGAUUGCAACAAAGGCAACGCCAGUUUUCAUGUUAGUGGUAAUGAGCAUACGAUACACUUCUCGAGGAAAAAACCUCAAGUCCACGGUAUCAAUUCUAUUGGAAAAAUUCCAACAAUUACUAUUGGAGGUUUUGAAUUUCCUCUUCCUACUGUCAAGAAGAAAUAUGAUAUUCUUAUUGUUAGGGAUGUGCAUAUCCCCAUUGAGGUAACCUAGUGUUAUUCAAAAUUUCUCCAGUUUCAUGCAAUUCGGAAUGAGUUUGUUAACAAGACUUGAUCAACCUUGUUAGUGGAUUCCUUUUGAUGAGCAUGAGAUGGAUGAAGUUAGAAAGCACAACCUUCUAUACCCUCUUUUUACUUUCUAUUAUUUAUAUUAAAUAAAGUAAAAAUAGUAUUUUCUGUCUGUUUUCUGAAUUAUCCUUGCAAUAAAAAAAUACCUCGAAAAUAAAAGUUCUCCAAAUGUCCUGAAAAUUUAAUAUGAUUUUUUCUAGAAUAUUUAAGAAUUAUUGGCACUAAGAACACACCAGGGGGACCCACCAUGUGCCCACGAGGGUGGAGGGCGCACCCACCCCCUGGGCAUGCCCCCUGCCUCAUGGACUCCACGUGGGUCCCCUCCACUUAUUCCUGCACCCACACACUUCAUCUCCCUCCAGAAAAAAUCUCCACCUAGCUCAAACCCGUGUUCUAGCUCAUCUUACUGCCAUUUUCGAUCUCCUUGCUCAAAGCUCCAUUCACAAAACUGCUUUGGGGGAUUGUUCUUCGAUACGUGACUCCUCCAAUGGUCCAAUUAGUUUUUGUUCUAGUGCUUUAUUUAUUACAAAUUUUUGCUGCUUAGGUGACCCUGUUCUUGAGCUUGCAUGUCUAAUUUAUGUGGUCAAAAGUAUUUUUAAUGCAUGAUAUAGCCUCUAGGCACUUGUAGAAGUAGUUGCUAUCAAUUUUGUUGAGUUUGGUUCAUUUUUAUUUUGAGUCACUAAAAAUUUCAGAAAUUUUUCAGAGGAAGAAAUAUGUUUAGGAAAAUGUACCAAGGUGGUUCCUCAAGGAAGCAAGGCCCAAGGCUAGCAAUACACGAGCCGGACAAUGAACUACCAAGGGAGGCUCAAGUGCGGCCUUGUGAAUGGCUGUCAGAAGAUUUUAUGGUCCAAGCAGGAAUUAAGGAGGAAUUUGACGCGUAUGUGCAUAACGCUGAUCUUGAGAGCUUCGUGUGAGAUAAGUGUUAGCAAUACCUCUAUUUAACUGAUCCAUUUGUGAGAAGGUUUAAAUUUACAUCCUCACGCAAUUCUCACAAUGUCUUAUUUGAUCUUUAUGAUAAAUCUUAUACCAUGGAUUUAGAGGAUUUUAAUACUGCUUGUAAACUCCCGCAGUGGGGUAGUGCUAGUGAACCUCACAAAUCUGAAUAUAAAGACUUUCUUGCUAGUAUAUUGGGGGAAUCUAGGGAAAUCACGCAAGCUACCAUAGGGAGCAUUCAUUUUCCUGCCAUACAUUAUUUUGCUCUCUUUAUAGGUAGAUGCAUUAACGGUAAGGAUGAGGCAUGUCACAUGUUGCAUCUUAACGGUUUAAGUGGAGAUUUAUUUGGUGGAAUUUAUGCAACCCGUGUAGCUAACUAUCUUGGUAUACCUAUACAUGGAGAUGAUAUUGAGUUGCCUCCUGCUUAUCUAGAUUAUGAUGCUAUGGUUCACCACCAGUUCCUGGAGAGGAACGAUCAGUUCCUCCAGUACCGACUAAUCUUUGACAGACGGCGCACCGUCCAUGUUGCUCUCCCUGCUCCUGCUUUCUUUGACUUUCAGGCAAAAAGGAGAUAUGUUAUAACUAGGGAGGAAGCGAACGAGUAUGAGAGGACGACAGAGGCAGCCCGCCUCCAAGCUGCAGCUCUUCAGGCAGUAGCUGAUGCAUCUCAAUACAACCCCAGCUUCAACUUCGGAUAUCCACCAGGCCAUCCAUGGGCAUAUACCAACUUAGGCCAAAAGCCUAAGCUUGGGGGAGUACGUAUCUUUCACCGACAUUACAUUCAUGUUUACACACUCAUGCUAGUUGUCGGUGCUCAUACUUUUUCAUUGUAUCAUCCAUGCUAGUUCAGUUUCUUUUUAAGCUUUCUUCUUGUGAGUUUGAUAAACCUUAAUAAAACCAAAAAAAUUAGUUGUAGCUUUUAGCUAGUUUACUUUCCAUGCCUGUAGUAGUAAUAAUUAAAAGAAAACCCAAAAAGAUUUCUCGUUCUUCUUUUGCUUGUUGGGCGCUUUCCCGUGUAAAUAGUUUUAUUUCCUUUCUUUUCUUUGGGGGUCGAGAGGAGAAGACCUGGAUGAAAAUGUUGAGUGGCUCUCAUAUGCAUUAUUGUUGAUCUAACAAAGAGCCCAUAUUACCUUGUCUUCUCCCUUGAAUUGAAUGCUUGCAGAUUCUAGCUUAGUCCAAUGCACGUGUACUAUUAUUAUUAUCCACACUAUUCGGUUGUGCAAGUGAAAGGCAAUAAUGACGAUAUAUGAUGGACUGAUUGAGAUGAGAGAAGCUGGUAUGAACUCGACCUCUCUUGUUUUUGUAAAUAUGAUUAGUUCAUCAUUCCUGAUUCAGCCUAUUAUGAAUGAAACAUGUUUGCAAUGACAAUUAGAGAUUAUAGUUGCUUAUGCCAUGCUUAAUUUGCUAGGAGUUUAUAAUGGUUUACCUUGCGUGCCAACAUGCUAUUAAAAUGGUUGUGAUGUGGUAUGAUAGGGUGGUAUCCUCCUUUGAACGAUUCGAGUGGCUUGACUUGGCACAUGUUCAUGCAUGUAGUUGAAACAAAAUCAACAUAGCCUCCAUGAUAUUUAUGUUCAUGGUGAUUUAUAUCCUACUCAUGCUUGCACUCAGUGUUGGUUAAUUUUAAUGCAUGUUCAUGACUAUUGUCGCUCUCUAGUUGGUCACUUCCCAGUCUCUUUCUAGCCUUCACUUGUACUAAGCGGGAAUACUGCUUGUGCAUCCAACUCCAUAAACCCCAAAGUUAUUCCAUAUGAGUCCACCAUACCUUCCUAUAUGCAGUAUCUAUCUGCCAUUCCAAGUAAAUUUGUAUGUGCACUCUAAACCUUCAAAUAAAAAUUAUGUUUUGUAUGCUCGAAUAGCUCAGGUAUCAACUAGGGUUGUCUGUAUCUUCCAUGCUAGGCGGGUUAUUCUCAAGAGGAGUGGACUCCGCUCUUCACUCACGAGAAAAAUGGCUGGUCACCGGGAUGCCCAAUCCCAUGCUCAAUUCAUAUCAAAAUAAUUGCAAACAAAACUCCCCCAGGAUUGUUGUUAGUUGGAGGCACCCGUUGUUUCAGGCAAGCCAUGGAUUGAUGCUUGUUGGUGGUGGGGGAGUAUAAACUUUACCAUUCUACUUGGGAACCGCCUAUAAUGUGUGUAGCAUGGAAAAUAUCAAGAUCUCUCGGUUGUUAUGUUGACAAUGAAAGUAUACCGCUCAAAAUAUUAUUCAUCUCUAUUUCAAAACCGAGCUCUAGCACCUCUACAAAUCCCUGCUUCCCUCUGCGAAGGGCUUAUCCAUUUACUUUUACGUUGAGUCAUCGUCCUCUUAUUAAAAAGCACCAGUUGGAGAGCACCGCUGCCAUUUGCAUCCAUUACUAUUAAUUUGUAUUGAGUAUGACUAUGACUGGAUCUCUUUUACCAUGAAUUAGAAUGUUUAGUCAGUCCUUGAUCUUUAAAGGUGCUCUGCAUUUAUGUUUUGUGGUCUCGGAAAGGGCUAGCGAGAUACCAUCUUGUUAUAUCAUAUCAUAAUUGUUUUGAGAAUGUGUUGUCAUCCGAGAUUUAUUAUUAUUGCUUGCUAGUUGGUUAUGCCAUUGAUAUGAGUAAACAUGAUACCUAAAUGUUAUUGUGAAUAUGGUUAGUUCAUAAUCUUUGCUGAAAACUUGAAUGCUGGCUCUACAUAUUUACAACAACAAGAGAAAACAGAGUUUUUCAAAGUUUUUCUUUAUCACUUUCAGUUUGUCAAUUGAAUUGCUUGAGGACAAGUAAAGGUUUAAGCUUGGGGGAGUUGAUACGUCUCCAACGUAUCUACUUUUCCAGACACUUUCGCCCUUAUUUUGGACUCUAACUUGCAUGAUUUGAAUGGAACUAACCCGAACUGACGCUGUUUUCAGAAGAAUUGCCCUGGUGUUAUUUUUGUGCAGAAAUAAAAGUUCUCAGAAUGAUCUGAAAAUCAACGGAGAAUAUUUUUGGAAUAUAUAAAAAUUAUGGGCGAAAGAAUCAAUGUCAGGGGGCCCACACCCUGUCCAUGAGGGUGGGGGCGCGCCUACCCCCUGGGUGCGCCCCCUGCCUCAUGGGCCCCCUGGUGCUCCAUGGACGUCCAUCCUGACUCCAUAUAUUCAUGUUCAGGGAGAAAAAACAGAGAGAAGGACUCAUCGUGUUUUAUGAUACGGAGCCGCCGCCAAGCCCUAGACUCUCUCGGGGAGGGCUGAUCUAGAGUCCGUUCGGGGCUCCGGAGAGGGGAAUCUGUCGCCAUCGUCGUCAUCAACCUUCCUCCAUCACCAAUUUCAUGAUGCUCACCGUCGUGCGUGAGUAAUUCCAUCAUAGGCUUGCUAGACGGUGAUGGGUUGGAUGAGAUUUAUCAUGUGAUUGAGUUAGUUUUGUUAGGGUUUGAUCCCUAGUAUCCAUUAUGUUCUGAAAUUGAUGUUGCUAUGACUUUGCUAUGCUUAAUGCUUGUCACUAGGGCCUGAGUGCCAUGAUUUCAGAUCUGAACCUAUUAUGUUUUCAUGAAUACAUGAGAGUUCUUGAUCCUAUCUUGCAAGUCUAUAGUCACCUAUUAUGUGUUAUGAUCCGUUAACCCUGAAGUGACAAUAAUCGGGAUACUUACCAGUGAUGACCGUAGUUUGAGGAGUUCAUGUAUUCACUAAGUGUUAAUGCUUUGGUCCGGUACUCUAUUAAAAGGAGGCCCUAAUAUCCCUUAGUUUCCAAUAGGACCCCACUGCCACGGGAGGGUACGACAAAAGAUGUCAUGCAAGUUCUUUUCCAUAAGCACGUAUGACUAUAUUCGGAAUACAUGCCUACAUUACAUUGAUGAACUGGAGCUAGUUCUGUGUCACCCUAUGUUAUAACUGUUGCAUGAUUGAUCGCAUUCAACAUAAUUAUCCAUCACUGAUCCAUUGGCUAUGAGCUUUUCAUAUAUUGAUCUUCCACUACAAGAAAUAUGUCAACUUGUGACCAGCACUAUUGGUCACUGAAUGGUCACUGUUUUCAAUUUGUGACCUUUUUGGGACCAAAAACAUAAGGUCAAAAGCUGGCGGUCAUAAACUGACUAUAGCGACCUUUCUUCUGGAAUGGUCGUAGACGUUUACGACCAAAAUAUGUCUACUGUGGCGUUUUGGUCACUAGCAGCCUCCGCAGGCCACGUAGGCAUCCGAUGUGGCAAUCUGAUGUGGCACAAGAAUCAGCCUGGUCCAAUUCAGCGUUUUACAUGGGCCUAGCCCAACAAUUCGGCCUUUCUAUAUUUUUUUCCUGUGCUUUUAUUAGCUACAUGGGCCUGGCCCAAGAAUUUGGCCUUUUUAUUUUCUAGGCCAUGGCCUUUUUUAUUUUAUUUUUUCCAAAAGAUGAGCCCACUAGUGAGAUGGGACCCAGUUGUCAGGUUCUCAAGUGGGUCCCAGUUGUCACUGUUAUAUUCUUCAUAUCUCAAUUUUCCAGUAAAUAAAUAACAAUAUUUAAAUCCAAACAGAGAGAAAACAAAAUGCUUCAAACAGAGCACAACUAAUCAGGAAAAAUAUGGUACACAUCACGAAUACAAUCAGAAAGAGCCAAACUUGGCACAUUAUUACAAUCAAACUUGUUCAUCCUGGUAACACAGCAAGGAUGGUUCAUCCUGGUAACACAUUAUUACAGAAAAAUAUGCUUCACAUCAAGUUUACAAUAAAAAAAUGUUCACAUCAGGUAACACAACUAUCAUAGUAUAACUAGCUCCAAUGCUUCUCCCAACUUGUUCGUCCUGGACCUCACGACCAAACAUGAAUGAAGUCCAGCAUCUGCAAGUUAUCAAGAAAAAUGGUUAGAACAAGCAAAAUGCGACAUUUUUACCAUUUAAGCAUAGAAGAACAGGGUCAACAACAUUUCGAUCUUUGAAAAUGAACCAGGAUUUCAAUCUUUGAACAGCAAAAAAUUGAUAUAGUAGAUCAUUUGCGGUUUAAAACAACCCCUAAGGAGAGACAUGUUGACACAUUCAUUUGGCAACAUCUGUAGAAAUUGAACCUCAUAAACAUGCAAUGUGGAAUUUGUAUCUCAAAGAAGUAUACAUACUUAUCAGGUUUAAUUAGCACAUAAACAUGCAAUGUGGAAUUUGUAUCUCAAAGAAGUAUACAUACUUAUCAGGUUUAAUUAGCACACAGAAGCCAAAUGCUAGUAGCUCAUGAUUAGUACACAAGACAAGAUUCAACAAAGUAAACAAGAAGGUGGCUACAGUACAAAACUAAGCUCAUCACACAGAAUAAAAUGAUAUUAAAAGUAAGCUCAGCAUAAGCAUGAGUUUUUUUGGCACCACCAGAUCAAAC
rnacentral:lncRNA from 1 species